rnacentral:lncRNA from 1 species
GGUGAUGAAGGGGGUUAGGAGACAAUCUCUAUACAUUUUGCAAGCCAAGUCUCAGUUGCAAACUUCACACACGGGAGAAACCAGUUCUGCUACAACAACAGAGAAUGCGAGUGAUGUCACGCAUCUGUGGCAUAGCAGACUUGGUCAUCUAGGUCGUAAAGGGAUGGAGGUCUUACACAAGAAGGGAGCUUUUGGGAACAGUAAGAUUGAAGAGUUGAAGUUCUGUGAAGCGUGUGUUAUAGGCAAAACACAUAGAGUGAGUUUUAGUCAAGCGAAACAUGUUUCUAAGGACAAGCUUGACUACAUUCAUUCAGAUCUUUGGGGAUCUCCAAAUGUACCGCACAGUCUCAGUAGAAAUCAGUAUUUCAUAUCAUUCACAGAUGAUUACACGAGAAAGGUGUGGUUAUAUUUCUUGAAGUUCAAGGAUGAGGCAUUUCAAAGUUUUGUUACAUGGAAGGCCAUGGUUGAGACACAAAGCGAGAGGAAGGUUAAAAGGUUGAGGACAGAUAAUGGGUUGGAGUUCUGCAACAGACAGUUUGAUGGGUUCUGCAAGGAACAAGGAAUUGUCAGACACAGGACAUGCACAUACACUCCUCAGCAAAACGGUAUAGCUGAAAGGUUAAACAGGACUAUCAUGAACAAAGUUCGUAGUAUGCUAAGUGAGAGUGGACUGGAGCUGAAGUUUUGGGCUGAGGCAGCAGCAGUAGCAGUAUACUUAAUCAACAAGUCACCGUCCUCAGCAUUGGAAUUUAAAGUACCUGAAGAGAUGUGGACGUCACAUGAAGUUGAUUUGAGUAACCUUAGAAGAUUUGGAUGUUUGGCGUAUGUACAUUCUUCAGAAGGGAAACUUCUUCCUCGAGCCAAGAAAGGUGUGUUCACAGGUUAUCCAGAAGGAGUGAAGGGUUAUAAAGUGUGGCUUCUGGAAGAAAAGAAGGUUGUAAUAAGUAGGAAUGUGGUCUUUAGGGAAGAGAGAGUCUAUAAAGACUUUAAGAAUGAAGAAGAUAGUAAAACGGAGCUGAGUACUGAGUCUGUCAUCAUUGACUUAAAGUUGCUAGAUUCUGAAAGCAAAGGUCAAGAAUCAAUAAGAGUGACAUCUACAGGGGAAGAAGCUUCGUCAACUACAGAACCAAUAGAGGAGGAGAAGCAAGAUUUGGAGGAGUAUCAGUUGGCCCGAGACAGGGUUAGAAGAACAACUAGGCCACCUCCAAGACUUACAGAUUAUGAGUGUGACAGUGGUGAAGGAGAGGAUCAGUUUGCGGGUCUUGUUUGUCUUAUGUCUGAAGACACCAUAACAGAACCGGAUUCUUAUCAAGAGGCGAUGACUGAUCCUGAUAGUGACAAGUGGGCAGAAGCAGCUCAAGACGAAAUGACUUCUCUGGAAGUAAAUGAGACAUGGGAACUCAUUGAGAGACCAAAGGGUCAGAAGGCUAUAGGGUGCAGAUGGAUAUUCAAGAGAAAGGCUGGCAUUGCUGGAGUAGAACCACCGAGAUAUAAGGCUAGGUUGGUGGCUAAGGGGUACUCUCAGACUGAAGGGAUAGAUUAUCAAGAGAUCUUCGCUCCUGUAGUAAAACAUGUUUCUAUAAGAUUCAUGUUGUCAGCAGUCACGCAUUUUGACAUGGAGUUACAGCAGAUGGACGUGAAGACUGCAUUUUUGCAUGGAAAUCUUGAUGAAUUCAUUGUGAUGGAGCAGCCUGAGGGGUUUGUAGAUAAGAGAUAUCCAAACAGAGUUUGUAAACUCAACAGGUCGUUGUAUGGGUUAAAGCAGAGUCCGAGACAAUGGAAUAAGCGGUUUGAUGAUUUUGUGAGAUCGAAAGGAUAUAUCAGGAGUGAGUAUGAUCCUUGUGUUUACUUCAAGAAGAAUGAUAAAGAAGUAUAUGUCUACAUGCUACUAUAUGUAGAUGACAUUCUUAUCGCGUCUACAGACAAAGCUGAAGUUCAGAAGCUCAAAUCUGUAUUGGGAAAGGAGUUUGAUAUGAAGGACUUGGGAGAUGCCAAGAAAAUCUUAGGAAUGGAGAUAGCAAGGGAUCGAGUUAAAGGAGAACUAUCUGUGUCACAAGAAGAGUACUUGUGGAAAGUUCUAGGAAAAUACGAGAUGGAUCAGUGUAAAUCAGUGGCUACUCCAUUAGGAGCUCAUUUUUCACUCAAGACUGCAACAGAUAAGGAGUUUCAGGAUCAGGAGGAGAUUUAGAUCAUGCCAAGUCAACAACUGGAAUGAUUUUUACAGCAGGAGGAAACCCUGUUAGCUGGAGGUCUUCUCUACAGAAAGUAGUGGCUCUAUCCACAACUGAGGCAGAGUAUAUUGCAUUAUCUGAGGCAGUAAAAGAAGGAGUCUGGUUGAAGAGAUUUGCAGAGGAGUUGGGUUUCCCGCAAGAUACAGUUGAAAUAUUCUGUGACAGUCAAAGUGCUAUAGCAUUAUCGAAGAAUGCGGUGUUCCAUGAGCGAACCAAACACAUGGCUACUAAGUAUCAUUUUAUCAGAGACUUGAUUAAAGUAGGAGAGGUACAAGUCUUGAAGAUUGCUACUGCUAACAAUCCGGCGGAUAUUUUUACUAAGGUCUUGCCAGUAUUCAAGAUGAGAGAAGCAUUGAAGGUGCUUCGGGUUACUGAAGACUGAAGUCUGAGGAGAAGUCUUGAAGUCCGGUCAAGGACUCAAGGAGGAGUUCGGUGAAGAGCUUCAAGUUAGUGUUUCGGUAAGUAUCAGGUAUGUGAUAUGAGAAAAGAGGUUUUUAUUCUGGAUUUGAGAAUGAAGUUGUCAUCUAAGCUUGUGAUGAGUGAAGACUUGCCUAAGGAGGAGAUUUGUUGAGUAUUAUUCAAGUCUUACGUUCGGUUUAGGAUUCAAUAGAUUAGGCUUAGAUUCGUUUCGGUUUAGAACGGUUAAGCUUGUAAUUGUAUUGGACCGAGUUCUCUCUCCUUAGAUAGUACUCACACGUGUGGCUUGUGCGCGUGUGUAAAGGUUAGCUAGCUCAACAUAUAAGAGUUAGUUAGCAGAGGAUAAGAUCGUUGACUUGAGCUGAUUAGGUUGUUAGAUCAGUGAUCAAGAAUCAUCUAGUGAGAGAGAGCUAGGAGAACGCUUUGUAAAGACGGUGGCUCGGCUUGUGAGCUCAUCCGUUGAAGGCAUAGUAGAUUGCCGGUUCAGUCCCGGCCCCGGUGAAGUAUAGCGGCCAUUCCUCGUUAACGGAGUGGUGCGGUGAACACCGGGUGAACACUCGUGUGUGUGCUCCCGAGUUUGCGUGAUAACGAUCUUGAAGAAGAGAGAUUGAUCUUCACAAUAUCUAUUUAUUUAUGACAGAAGUGUACAUACAAACAAGACAAUGGAGGGAAAUUUACUUGUUACUUAUCAGAUCUUCUAUUCUGAAACUGUUAAUGACUUGGUUCCAUACCAACACAAACUUGGCCAUACUAUUUUUCUGGCCAUCAGAUCCCUGGAAAGGAAAAAAGGUACUUCUUAAUACGGAACUCAAAUAUACAAUUUAGUCCCUCGGCAUAUACAUGUGAUCGAUCUCUUACCCUGCAAAAAUUGAAGGGGAAAAAGCCUCUUUCUUUUCUCUUUCUCUCAUCUUUCAUUGAGUGUGGAAUAAGGGAUGCAUUGAAAGCUGAUGGUAAAGUAUGAAACCGGCCUCUCAACAUGCCUAAAGUUCGAAUCUAAAUAGAAACAAUGGAACAUAUUAGCCUGGAAACAGCAACACCUGGCCAGGAACAACACAAAAUGACAAUAGUCGCAUCAAACCCAUGUGUGCUUACCUCACCAAGGUGGUGCAGAACUCCAUACAGUCCACCAAAGAUAGUACAGAAAACUGAGUACCAUAUUUGUGUAUCCAUGAAAUAGACCUGAAAGUUCGACAUUUGUUUCAGAAUACAAGUAACGCGACAGUUUGUCAUAAACACUCAAUCUCUAGUAGAUGCAUGGAGCUAGAAACUCACCACCAUGAUUGGCGCCCAUACUGCAACAAUUGCAGCAGCAUUACUCUUCACUAUCAGAGGAGAACACAAAAGUUUCUUUAGUGCUCCACAAUACAUACUUUAAAAUAAAAGAAAAGAAGUUAAAGGUAUCAGAAUAAACCUUCUGGAAAAAUUUCAUGCCAUUCAUAGUUCCGCACGCCAACUUUCAUAAUCAGCCGUGUAGGUUCUAUUAAAGGCUUUAUCUGCAUUUUCAAAUCAUAACGAAUGUAAGAUACUGUUUGAAAUGCAUACAACAGCAGUUAAUAGGGAGGUCUAUUUGGAAAAGGCAUCAGUUUCAGCUACCUCAAAUGCAUAGCUGAAAGCAAACUUGGUCAGGAGAACCAGAAUCCAAAAGAAAGUGUACCUGAAAAGGAAGAAAAAAAAUCAAAAUCACUGAAAACUAGAAAAGAUAUGAUUAACAGAAGUAGUAACACUGUGGACGACAUACUUGAAUUGUGAUAUCUGAGUUUCUUGCACUCCUCGCCCAAUGAAUAACCUAGGCUGCAGGAAAUAAGUUAGCACUUUAUAAAGUAAUCGGAUGAUACCUUUUAAAGUGAGUUUAUACAAAACUAUAGUUUCUGAGAUAGAAGUACCUGUCCCCACCAAUACAAAGUUUUGAAAACGCGAUGAUUCGAGGUCUCAAUGUAUUUGCUGAUGGCAGGGACGAAAAACAAGACCAACUCAACCGCACUUCCGGUAAGGUAUAUAGUGACCGCCACCAUAUACGGAGAAAAACACCACUCACCAAGCCGAGUUUUGUAACUUGUGAAAUAGCAAAUGUACUUCCUUCUUGAGUGAGAAUACAGAACUGGUAGAAUAACUGUCCACAUCGCAGCCAAACCCAACCUCGCCAUCUGUUUCUUUUUUUCAUUGAUUGGCAUUGUGGUUCUGGUUUUCCACUUGAAGAUUAUGUCAAGAAUACCUGCAAUUAAUACCCUCAAGUGUCAGCAGUAAGUACUGUAUGUCUUAUUUUAUACAUUAAGAAAAUUUCUCUAAAUAACCUUUUAUAAGCUUUAGAAAAGCAGAAGUGAUGAAAAUGCUCAUGACAUCUUCAAAUAUGUUGGCGUUGAAGAUUUGGAGUGGAGAUCCCACAUCGUGACAAGCCAUAAUGAUUAAUGCCUGAAAGGGAAGUAAGAAUUUUCAUAAUCAGUAAAUGUAUAUACUUGAAUAUAAUCUGAAAGAUAAGAGCAGAAGAAGAGUAACCUGCAGAGACAAAACAAAGAAACUCCACAUUCUGUCAAAGCUCCUGAAUAUCUGCCAGAAGGAACGAAUCUCUACAAAAUUUGUCUUCCCCAGCCAUCUUUGUGUUGGUUUAAUUUGUUCCUCAGUGAUAGGCUGCAGUAACAAGAACAUCAUAUGUCACAAGAGAAGUUUUGUAUUAUGAUUCUAGAAGCAAUGCAGUUUGCUGAACCCCAAAACGUUAUUCCUAGCGACAACCUAAGAUUAUUUUUCUGAAUUUGGACUCCGGAAGCAGUUAAUAAUGUGCUUACUUAGAUUUUAAGCGAUAAUAAGCUCUGUAGUCUCUUCAAUAAGCUAGCAACACCAUACUGCUAUGACACAAUGUUUCAUUAUCCUUUUAGAUUACUUAGUGUGUGUGUAUAUGCAAAUGUAUAAUCAGGGGAAGAGAUGUCUCCAUAAGUUACAAGGAUAUGUACCCCAAGUUCUUCGUCAUCCUCCAUUUCUUCAUCUGUUUUCUUCGUCUGCCUGCGAAACCUAAGCUUUUCUCUCCAUCUCCUUGGUUUACUGGUAUCUAACGGUUCUACACAGAAAAAGUCAUGUUCUGAACGCAUUGGCCAGCCUAAUUCGAAGCAUUCAAUAGACCUGUGGAAGAUGUAACAAGUAUGAUUAGUGAUGCUCCAGGCUAAGAGUCAUAAGAUAGUGAAUGUUCUGACCAGAAAAACUCGUUGAGAUCAUCGUAGUUUCUCCACAUAGAAUGAUCAGCAGUUCCAUUCUUGUUCUUCUCAGCUUCCUGCAAGCAUAAAUCCAUAAACUUUACAAUUGAAUACUCAUUUUUAAGUUGAGCCAAGCACUCCAUCAAAUAGAAAGAUCACCUUUUCGAUAACUUUGUAUAUUGGAGUAACUACUUUCUCAAGAAAAGUUUCGUGAGACACUCCACGAUAUGCUGGAACGACCUUCUCCCCGGUUAUCAUACUAACGUCACCAGCUAAAACUCCAUGUAAUUCAUAUGCCAUCUGGAUUAACAUCAACAUCCAUGUUGCAGAUAAUGAUCAGAUUGACUGAUAAACUUUUGAAGAAGACGUAAUAAAAAGCAUAUAAACAGAAGUCUUUUCAUCAUACUUGAUGGAAUAUAUAACACAGGCACUCUGGCAUGAACCUCAAAUUCGAAGCUUCUCCCCAUAUGAGAAGGUAGAGUCCUAUGUACAGUGUUUUAUAUUGUAGGGCUUCCUUUUUCACACAGGGCAACCUGCAGGUAGAUUGUGAGGCCAUACAGUUAGACAUAAACACCGCCCAAAGAGAUGAGACGACACAAGAUGUCAAUAGAAUACCUGAUGUUAUUUUUUCUCCCAAGAAACUUACACCAGCUUGUGUAGUUCUUGAAAAAUUUCUUCAUCAAUGCAUCUACUGCUUCAUCACCAGACUGAUCACAGGAAUUAAGAUUAUUUCCAAUUUAAAAGAUGGAGGAAUAAAGAGGGGGAAUAAUAACAACACCUUUGGUUGUGAAGACUGUUUCUGAGGUUGCCGUAUAAUGGUGUUGCUGAGUAGUAGGAUCAUAUGUUCUCUUUGAUUGGCUACAUUACCACUCUAGGAAGAAGAUAAAACCGAAAUUUUGGUUACCAUGUCUGAUUAAAUACUAAUUGAAAGUUCCUAAUAAGUACCUGAAAACCAAAUGCGUACUGCAGGAAUUCAAACAAAUCCACAAAAGGCUGGUGUCUCUGAAAGUCUUCUGGAGGAGGCAACCCACGUGUGUUACGUACAAUCGCAACAGCAGCUUUAAUCUGUAGUUUUGAAACAGAAAAUAACAUUUUACUAUGACAUAACCAAUUCAUACUAGUACAUAAUAACUCGUUCUACACAUGAGGCCUUAUGUAUGUUUAGUAUACCUCAGGCAGAUGCAUAAUUGCUUGGUGUACCCCUCCUCUGUCAAGAGGAAGAAUGUUAUACGGCACAUAGAAUUCAGAUUUUGCACGAAUGCUUUCUCUAUCCGCAAUGGCCUAUAUAUCAGAAAUCACAAUCUCAAAGGUUAGAUACACAAAACAGAUUCAAGUGGAGAGAAUCUGAAAGAAUGAGGGCAGAACCUGAGGGCCAGCGCCACUUGUGACAGUCUUAAGGACUUCAUACAAAACAGAAGCAAUUCUCCGUGCGUUAACCAACUUCUCUCUCUGACUAUUUCAACAUCAAAAUAAGAUUAGUGUUGAGUUGACUAGCUUAAACUGAACUACAAGUAUAGUUAGUGAGAAGCUGAAUAAUUACCUAUGAUCCAAAUUGAAUGUAGCACCAUGUUUGAUAAUAUACUCUUUGUAAGCAUGGUAAACACGCUUGAGUUCUCGAACAUCACUCUUCUCCUUUCUUCUUAUCACGGUAAACUCUUCAUCCUAUAAUAAAACCAAAACAAGUCAAGACUAAAAUAACCCGAACCGUCACAUCUUAACACAAGAAGCUUUAAGACUUUGCCUGUUCAAGCCUUUGGAGAAGAGAAGUCUUGAACUGCCGCACACCUCUUCCCGUUGAGUUUCUGUCCAUGUGGUGAGCUAUCUCAAACGCAUGGAAACGGCCUAAGAAUCAAAAGUUUCAAUUUUUAGACUGCAGAGCGUUUGUAUUCAUGGAAAAGUUUCAAUUUUUAGACUGCAGACCGUUUUGUAUUCAUAAAAAGUUUCGAUUUUUGGACUGCAUAACGUUUUGUAUUCAUAAAAAGAUUCAAUUUUUAGACUGCAGACCGUUUUGUAUUCAUGAAAAGUUUCAGUUUUUGACUGCAGAGCGUUUGUAUUCAUAAAAAAGUUUCGAUUUUUAGACUGCAGAGCGUUUGUAUUCAUGCAAAGUUUCAAUUUUUAGACUGCAGACCGUUUUGUACUCAUGCAAAGUUUCAAUUUUUAGACUGCAGAGCGUUUGUAUUCAUGCAAAGUUUCGAUUUUUAGACUGCAGAGCGUUUUGUAUUCAUGAAAAGUUUCAGUUUUUAGACUGCAGAGCGUUUGUAUUCAUGGAAAGUUUUGAUUUUUAGACUGCAGAGCGUUUGUAUUCAUGAAAAGUUUCGAUUUUUAGACUGCAGAGCGUUUGUAUAGAGAGAGAUGGGAACUCACAAAGGUAAGCGAUGCGAGGUUCUUCAGACUCAACCAAGUUAGCAAUACGAAGAAACCUCUGAAUCUCUGAGGCUAACGUCGCCGGAAGCCUCUCGCUGUCGAAGGGCUCCGACACGUGUUCCCGGAAAGUGAGGGAUCUCGUGUACUGGUGUUCUCGUUCCGGCGAAUCUUCUCGGCCCUGAGCCGGACGUGAGUAGCUAGUGCUCGGGAUGUCGAUGGGGUCCACGGGGACGAUUUCGUGAGACAUAGUGUGGGAGUAAUCGGAACCAGACGGAAGCUGAUUCUGCGACUAAGGGUUUUGGAGGGAAGCAUUCGGGAGGAGGAGGGGGGGAGAUGAGUGGAGAGUGAUGGGGUUUGUUUAUAUAAAGCGGUUAAUUGCUUAGCGAGGUGAGUUUCCAUGGCGGAGAUUUUUGAAAAAGGGAUGAUUUUUAUUUUUUGGGGAGAGAGGUGAUAUGAUGAUAUGAUGAUGGUGCGAUUUCUUUUUGCUUUUCUUUAUUAGUUGGAGAGACGUUCUUUUUUUUGGAGGGAAAAACGGUGAUUAAAAAAAAAUGAAUUGCAAAACAAUAUAGGAUUUUUUUUUUUUACAAUAUAGUUUCAAAGGCUAGAACUAAUAUUUUUAAAAUAAAUAUAUAAAAGUAACUCUUUGUUUAUCUCUAGUUUAAUAUCACUCAAUCACACACAUAUACAAGUAUAUUUUAACAUGCAUAUGUGAAAUUAGGACACUUGGUAACCUGAAUUUUCAAACAAAUCAAAAUUAAUGAUUCUAGAAAGUAUGUCCAGAGAUUGGUUACUACAUGUUGGGGAUUAAAUCAAUGAGAUUAUUAUCAUGUACAAGAAAAUAUGAGAUUUAUAUUAGAGUAGAAGUGUGAAUUAGCUUGCAUAAUUGGUCUUAGAUAUCAUAAAGAUUAAAGUGGAAAUGACUUUUUAAUUAACUUAAGUAAGCUUUUUUUCUCCAAAAAGAAACAAAUUAAAGAAAGGGUUAAAGUGAAAGGUAGUAGGAUAUGCAGAGACAGAGAUUCGGUGUAUGUAGUUUUCUUCAAAACAAAAAUUGUUUUAUACUAAAUCCUUGCUAAAGAAACUAACAAUGGGGUAUCACUGGAAUAGUUUACACCAUAAUACCAACGUGCAUGGAAAAAGAAGAAAGAAAAACAUAUUAAAAGUUGAUUGACUGUAAAGCAGCCAAAUCUUAUAAUAUAAAAAUAAAUUGGAAUGUAAAAGCAUAUACUUCCGGAGUUGAUGUGCAUUUGUAUCUAUUUCUUAGUCACUAAGAAUAUACCAAAAGAUCACUCACAAUAUAACUUGGUGAUCAAAUCAAACCGAAUUGUUUGAACUAAGUAAAACAAAUUAACAGAAAGAUACAAAACAAAACUUUCUAUUUUAUUGACUGGGUACGAAUGUAUUUUAGAGAAACAACAAGAUUUCGGAUUAGAGAUGUAGUUAGUUCUUUUUGUUUGGUACUAUUUGCAUUAGCGAGGUGUAUUUUUUUUUUUUUUUUUUUUUUGAAACAUAAUUUAGCGAGGUGUAUAGUCCUUCUCUCUAGAGUGUAAGAGCAAUAUUAUUGGUGGGACAAAAUUUUGAGUUUUUAGAUUUUUUUAUUAUUAUUUUUAUACUAAGAAACAAUGUUAAGAAACAAUGAGCGGUAGUUUUUUACCCAAAAAGUCUAGCUCGUUUGUGUGAUGAUUGGGCCUAAUAUUUUGAAGAGACUGUUAAAGCCUAUUCGCUAAAAUUUGUAGAAUGGCUUAUCUAAAGCCCAUGACCCAUUGGCCCAUUGGCUUUAUGUCAUACAUGCAGUUUGAAAGCAAAGUUAUACCAAGUAAGCAGGCCAUAUUUUACGUUUCUUAAUUUCUGAACUGUAUGUCAUGUCAUCUGAUAAUUUGAUGCUUUGUUAAAUUUAAUAUCACAGUAACAUUGCCUCUCUUCUUAGAUCAUACUGUAUUUUCUUCCAACCCAUUUUCAUUGCUGUUAAAAAUAUAUAUAAAUGAGAGGUAACCAAUUACAAUAGUAGAUACAACUGAGUUAGCCUUGGGAUACAAGUUAAUCCAUUAAAGGUGAGAUAAAUUAUGUCAAACCACCAGGUACUAAUUAUCAGUUACCAGGUAAUAACAGUUCAAAAUUCAGAACCGUAAAACAAACCAGAACCAUUAAAUUUUUAUGUCUAAAGCAAAAAUGAUUUGUGGAAACAUUAAUAGACUUCAACGGAGACUGUUGGAGAUUAUGGUAAAUCCCAAUCUAGAAUAUGGCUUUGUAUUACACGGAUCGUUUGUGGACAAAUAAAGUUAAUUAUGCGAAUAUAUUGGAAAAAAAUGAAAGUUGAUUAUGCGAAUACGCAUCUAUAUAUAUGUAGGGUUAUUUAUGAAGUCCAGUAAAUUUAUUCUUAGUGGAAAAUGCUAAGUUCAUGUUGAUGUUGUUCCUCAAUCAUAUUCCAAGGGCUUUUAUGUAAUACUAUUCCACAAUAUGUAGAGAAGUAUGUAUAUCUUGUUAACGUCAACGACUAUUCGUUAAAUCAUGAAAAUUCGUGUGACCGAAUUAUAUAUUUAUAUCCAACUCGGUUGAUACAUAUGCUAGUUUUGUUAAUUAGUCUUCUCAAGUAAUCAUUACAUUUUUUAUAUAAUCAACUGAUAUUGAAACAGCUUUUCUUAAAUUAGGACUUCAUGAAACCAAUCAAUACAUAACUACAUCAUUAUUAUUCUCUUGCCACAGAGAAAGACUUGGUUCCUCAAAUGUAAGUCCGUAGUUAAUAUGAGAAUAAUAAUCACUACCUUCAAUCUCAAGAACACUACUAUCCACACCAUCCAUGUACGAAAGUUCCGUACACCAUUUCAUCAUCUCAUCAUCAUUUUCCGACGAAACCAGGCCAAUAUCAAAGUCGUUAAGCCACCCAAAAUCAUCUUCGAGACCGGGUUUUGUGAUCUCUUGCAGAUCCGUUUUUUGAGAUUCUAUGGUCGGAGAACUCAUGUUGAUCUCCACUUCUAACGAUCUAAUCACACGGUUUAGUUUCUCUUCUUCCUCUUCGGUAACGCUGAUAUGAUUUUCAGCUGGCGAUUCUUCUUCUAAGAACGACAUGAUCAUAAGCUCAUCGUUGAAAGUCUCCAUGCCUUGAUCCAAACCAUAUUGAACAGACGCCAUGAGAAGAGAGAAAGAGUCUGAAAAGAGUAAUUAUAUAUCACUUAGAGAAUGUAUUAUAACUUGAGCCAAAGCAAGUCUUAUAUAUAGGAAAAAAGUUAAAAUUAAUUAAUUAGGCAUAUUGGUGUAUAAUAUAAGAUGUCUCCCCACACUACACGACCAAUCAUGUGAUCAUAUGUAAUGUGAUAUGAUGAUGAUAAUAACCUUUCAUAAAAAGAAUGGGAUGCCUAACUUAUAAUGGACCAUCGAGGAGACAUGAUCACUGAAUGAAAUUAAAUCAUGGACAUUAUAUUAUAAUUAGAAAAUUAGUUGAAUGUCAAAUGUCAAGUGUCAAGUGUCCAAGUGGAAUAUCCGUAUAGGCAAGAUAUUACAAGUUUGGUAUAAUGCGUAGCCCACUAAUAGAUAUGGUUUAGGAUAGGCGAAGAAACAAAGCCGAAACAUCUACUUUUAUCGUGUUUGCAUUUAAUUUGGGAACAAAUCAAUGGACGUAAAAGGAGAAAUUUUAAUAUGCUACCGAUAAUACUGUGUAGACAAAGAAAAUACCACUACUACUAUAACAUGUUGAUUUAUGAAAACCAUUCAUCCACUUUCAUGGUAAAACUAUUCAGAUAAAGAAAAUUCCACUACUAUAACACAUCCACAGAGUAAUUGUAUUUAAUAAAGAUUUUAUUCUUGAGUAAUUAAUUUAUACUGGAAAAUUAAUGAAAUGUCGAACUUCGAUUCAUGAUUCUCUAUCAAUAGAUUUUCUCAAACAAAAAAUUUAGUAACUCUUAACAUCAGAACUUACACCAAAAGAACAUCUGAACUAUUUGAUGUAUACAUGAAAUAUUUUGAAUAACUAGAAAAUUCUGGACCUUUUUUUUUGAACAACAAUUCUUAAUAUUAGAUAAUCAGGUCAAAGUCCAAGAAGCAUUCGGAUUACAAAGAGAUAUUUUUGCCAAAGAACCAGCAGGCCUAUUUCGUUCUCUAAGUAUAAAGGAAAAAAAAAACAGAAAGUGAAGUAUGACGAUGGAAGUUUGAUAUCCGCGAGGACUCUGUAGAUGUUCUUCGGUUUUGAGAUCGAAUUGAUAACUCUGACGAGUCCUAAAAUUUUUGAUAUAAACCAGAUUUUGGUGUAGCCGCGUAAUUGAGGACAGUUCUGAUAUCUAGAGCUUCAGCAAGGAGGGCUGAAUGUACUUAAAGUUGCGUGUAUAUUUUUGGCAAAAUUUUGGACCUUAUACUUGUAUAUGUUUUAAAACGUUAACGAGGCCAAAACUAUUUUAAAUUUUUUUUUUGCUAAACAAAAACUAGUUUAGAUAUUUUUUUUGUAGAGAUAAGACCCUUUUUAACAUAACUUGAACCUAUGAUUCCUUAAAUGCUUAGUAGAUAAUCUAAGAGUUCUAUAUAUCUAUUAUGCCUAACACAUAUUGGUUAAAAACAUUUUGAAGCGAAAACCUCUUUUGUUUUAUUCAAUAAAGUCAUGAAACGAUAAGAUGACGAAACUGUUCAACAUAAUUCACGAAUCUACAUGUGAUUAGUAGUAAAAUGUAGGAAUCAAGUUAUUUUAUUAGUCAAUCUAUAGAGCUAUAAUAGCAUAUCGAGGUGGUUAUAUAAUAUGUGUGAAAUAAAAGUUAAAUACCAAAGGUAUGUACAGUGGUUUAUCUUAGUUCUAUUUGUGCCCCAAAUUUAAAUCUGAAACUUAUUUACGUCGUGUCGGGGCAUUUCCAAUUUUAUUCUAUUUUUUUUUCUAAAAUAGAGUAAAAGUGAAUAAAAAAUGUUCCGACUCAAUUAUAUAUGUCAUUUCAUAAUACAGUUUAUUCCAUAAAUAGAGUAUUAUAUUUUUUGUUUGUUUAUUACUCCAUUAUAGAAUGAAAAAUGAAAUAUGAUUGGAACAUUUUACUCUAUAUUUACUUUUAUUCUAUUUAGAAAAAAUAGAAUUUUACGUUAGAAAUGCUUUUAUAGUAUUAAGAAAAUUAGUAUCCACCAUCUAGUUUUUUCUUAUCUCGUUCCCAAAUCAAAAUUAUAAAAAUAACAUGUUUUAACAUAACGUUGUCAUAUUUUGUAAAAAUACCGUAUAUACAUCUAUUUUUAUGAAAUCAUGAAAAGUUUAUUUUUAUGAAAUAGUUUCUUAGCAUUUAUUUUAGAGGACGGAGAAAGUAUAUAAUGUCUUUAUAUAUAGUUUAUUUUUGUAAAAAAAUUGUAUGAAUGCAAAAUUUACACGCCUAUAAAACGGUUCGGUGUAUAGUGGUUGGAAGUACAUAAUAUAAUGUAGGGUUGUAAUGCAAAUGGAUGUCACACUUACGGUACACGUACCGACACUAAAUUUAUAUUAAAGAUUUAGCUUUAAUUUCGGGGUCGUUUUACGAUAUGCUAUGAUAAGGUACGUGUCACAUGUGGGUGUUGGACGUUGGAGAAGAGAUGAUUUGACCGAAUAAAUGAGAUUCGAAGCAUUAUAGAAGCAUUAGCACGGGUGGUGGACCGACCCACCCCAUUUUCAUCGCAUCAAUUAUCGAUUGGUUCACAUGCUUCCACCUCUGCUUGCGUCUUCCUUAAUGUUCUCCAAUUAUUCUCCAGGACUUGUUGAACUAUUCUACAAUAACCUUUUGUAUUUUGAUGAUAAUUUUUUCAUCAGUUUUCAUGAACUUUUUCCGUUCGUAGUUGUUAGAGGCCAAAUUCAUAUUCGUUUUGCAUUCGUCAGCGAUGAUGCCAACAGGUUAUAGUGAUCAUCAACAACAACAUCUGGUUUGAUUAUAUAUUUAUAUUCGAACAGUCACCAACGGCAUCAACAGACUUCAAAAGUAAUCGCUGAUUCAAAUUUUGAUACAAUAUAUACAAUGUAACUUAUGAAAUUAUAAUACGAAUUAUUAUUCAAAUCCCAAAAAGUUAUGUAUACCAACACAACACGAAUCUUGAGUUGAUUACCGGUACGGAUUUCCUCAACCAGCUCGAGCAUCGUCUUCUCUUGGUUACGUGUUUCCACCAUAUCUAGAUCCGUGAGGUUCGAGAUGGCUCUGAUACCAUAAUGAGACAGCAAAGGUUAUGAGUGAUAGUUUCUCUCUGUAAAUCUUCCGUAGAUCUAAAGAGGAGAUGAAUCAAGGACUAAAAGGUGAUCUGAGUUUAAGAAAUGUCACCUUCAAGUGCAAUGACCAAAGCAAUACGACGUUAAUGGCGUAUGCACAAGAUAGAGAGAGAGUUUAGGAAGGAGAUAAGUUUGAUAAUGAUUGAUUGAUUCUAGCAAAAUGCCAAAGUUGUACAAAUAAAGGAAAGAUGCUAACGGUCUAAACAAAUGACCUGUAACCGGGAUGCAACCCGUGACUGAGAGUAAUCUUAUUAGACUUGCAGUAAUAAAGUGAAAGUAAAGAUAGGUGAGUAAAGAAGGUAAAUGCUGUCACAAUGGUAAAGUCGUUCUGUAUAGAUUUACAAGCAUAUAUCAAUAUCGUCAAACCACGUCAAAGCUAUUAUCGUAAUCUACACUCUUGUUUUGUUCCCUUGUAGUCUCUCCUAAUGACUGUAUAAAUUAUGUUUCAUUUAUAUUCACUCUGUUUCUAAAUAAUGCAUAUUUUAGAUUUUUCACAAAUAUUAAAAGAAAUUUAUUAACUAUCAAUGCAUUAACUUAUAAAGUUAUAACAAUUUCCUAUGAAUUUAACUAAUAGUGAUUCAAUAAAUCCAAAAUUGUCAAUUAACAUUUUUUGAAGUUCAUAAUUCGUUAUUAAAAAUAAAUAAAAAUCUAAUACAUUAAUCUUUUAGAACCAAGUAAAAAGUGAUAGAACAUUGAUUAUUUAGCAACAGAAAGAAUAUUAAUUAAGCUGAUAUUGUUGCACUAUUGGAAGCAUCCCAGGUUAAUCAAAUCAUUAAUACUUCCUCCGUUUUUUUAUAUAAGUCGUUUUAGAUGUAUUUUUAUGUUCCAAAUUGUAUGAUAUUUUCGGUUUUCUAUGUAAAUUUUAUUAAUAUUUAUUGUUAUAUGACCAAUGAUAAUAUACUCUCUAAUUUAUUAUUGGUUGAUUUGUGGUUAGAUAAAUAAUUAAUAAUAUUUUUGUUUAGAAAAUAUAAAAAAUAAUGAUUUUUUAAUCUACUUGCAUAAUUCUAAAACGACUUAUAUUAAAAAACGGAGGAAGUAGUUUUUUUUCUUGGGAUAAAAUCUUGUCUAUAGUUUACAAUUCAUUAUUAAAAAUACAUCAAAAUCUAAAACAUUGAUAUUUUAGAACCAAAUAAAAAGUGCUAUAACAUUGAUUAUUUAGCAACAGAGAGAGUAUUAAUUAACCUGAUAUUGUUGCACUAUUGGAAGCAUCCCAAGUUAAUCAAAUCAUUAAUAGUUUUUUUAAGGAUAAAAUCUUUUCUAUAGUUUACUCUAAAAUCUUUGGCAUAUAAACAAAUUUCUUCUUUUUGGGGGGCUCAGAAAAUCUAAAAGAAAAACUUCUAAUAUAAUUUGACAAAUAACUAUCAUUUUUUUAACACAAGACAAAAGAAUAUUUUAUAGACAUUUUUAAUGUUGAAAUAUUAUAAGCAACUAAGCAAGUAUCAUUUCAGGAAAAGAAAACUAGGAAAAGAGUAAGACACAUUCCGUAGAAAGGAAAGAAAGUGUAUAGAUGCCAUGCCUUGUUGAAACCUUCUAAAGCAGCUGGAAGGUUUCGCGUUGAUAGAGCCCUAAACGCUUCCCGCCAUUUCGUCCUCAAUAAGGUCACGUGACUAACUAACUUUUUUUCUUUUUUUUUUGAAACACAUACGGGACUAACUAACUAAUGUGGGAGUUUAAACGACAUGGCUUUCUCUGCAGAUACAUCUUCUCUGGCGUUUUUUCUUCCGAACCCCUAGUUUCUUUUCCUAAGCUCAAGUAGGAAACUUAGAACUCACGCAAUCUUCCGAAACAUGUGCUGUACAUCUAUAACUGAUAUGGUUGUUUCAAAGAUAGGUUUGGUUUUGUUUCGCAAAAGUUGAGACACGAGGAGAUGUCAGUUUGUCAAUUCUAGCACCUUCGCUCGCUCUUAUUACAUUGUGUUUAUGCUUCAGUUUCCAGCUUUUUUGGACGUUAUCUUAUUACAUGAUGUUUCUCUCGCAGACCAAGAGCUUAGCUUGGUUUCGUGCCUACAAUGCCCCUGAACGUAUUCUUCUAGCUAGAACAAAUCAAAUUUGAUCUGUGUGUUUACUUACUCUAAUCAGCUAGCCUAGAAGUUAAGACACUCUUAAUAAUCUAAGAUCAUAUCUUCACAUAUUUUUCUUAUAUGCACCUUCACAUUGUCUUGACUAAGGAUUGGGAAAAUGCCUCAUGAUGCUCUAUGAUCAGACUUCACAAUCUGUAUUUCAAAAGUCAAUUUUUGUUUUUAGAAUUUCCUGUAAUAACUAAACACUGGUCGAUGUAUUUAGCUAUUCAAAUUAUUAUUACAACUUACCUUAUAUAUAUGAACAUAGAUCGUGACUUUUCAUCCAACGAUUUGUUGAAUAUUCAUAUAAUCUUUUUUAUACAAAUUUAAAAUAACAAGAACGACGUUGACCUUCAUUGCUUCCAAUUCCAAGAAACCUAAUAAGAACUUCACAUGCUCUUAGUGGGCAAAGACUCAAAGCCAAUUAUAAAAUUGUAUUAGAGAAAGUGGAUCAGCAAUGGCGACUGUUCAUCUCAGCUCAUCAUCCCUCUUCAUACAAUUCAAAGGAAGAAGAUACAACUCUAUAUCCUCCGUCAAGAGUCUCCAAAUACGCAACGUUUUGUCUAUCUCAUCUUCUCUCACGUCACGAGGUGGAGGCAUGAUUACACCACACGGUAAAGGCAAUGAUCACAACCCCACCUUUGACUUCAAGUCAUAUAUGAUCCUUAAAGCGGAAUCUGUGAACGCUGCUCUAGACGUUUGCGUACCGCUUAUGAAACCCCUCACGAUCCAAGAGGCGGUGCGGUACUCAUUGCUGGCUGGUGGAAAACGUGUGAGGCCUCUUCUAUGUAUUGCUGCCUGCGAGCUCGUGGGUGGCGACGAGGCUACUGCCAUGUCGGCAGCUUGUGCGGUGGAGAUGAUACACACUAGCUCUCUGAUUCAUGAUGACCUUCCCUGCAUGGAUAAUGCUGAUCUCCGCAGAGGCAAGCCAACCAACCACAAGGUGUGUUGUAAUUUGUAAAUCAUAUGAAGGCUCGAAGAAAUGCUCACUAGUGUAUCAUGUUAAGUUAGAUGAACUUGCAAACUAAAAUCAAUUGGUGAUAAGUGGAUUGACUCUCAUAUACUAGUUAAUAUUCCUUGCAACUUUUGAUGCGGGCCCCUUGUCCCUAAUAUAUCUUUCCUUGAUGCUAAUGUUUGGUAUUGAACCAUUUUAUUCUCAAACAAGUUAUUUGGAGAAGACAUGGCGGUUUUGGCGGGUGAUGCACUUCUUGCUUUGGGUUUUGAAAACAUGACGGUUGUGACAAGUGGUUUGGUCGCUCCUGAUAGGAUGGUUCGCGCGGUAAUUGAGCUGGCAAAGGCCAUAGGGACAAAAGGGCUUGUGGCUGGGCAAGUGGUUGACCUACGCAGCGAGAGAAUAAGUCCUGAAGUCGCUGGACUGGAGCGUCUAGAGUUCAUCCACCUUCACAAAACAGCUGCAUUGUUGGAGGCAGCUGCGGUUUUAGGGGUUAUAAUGGGAGGCGGAACGGAGGAAGAGAUCGAGAGGCUUAGAAAGUAUGCGAGAUGUAUUGGGCUGUUGUUCCAAGUGGUUGAUGAUAUUCUUGACGUAACAAAAUCUACCGAGGAAUUGGGUAAAAGCGCCGGGAAAGACGUCAUGGCUGGGAAACUGACGUAUCCUAGGUUGAUUGGUUUGGAGAAAUCUAGGGAACUUGCGGAGACAUUGAGCAGAGAAGCAAAGGAACAGCUUCAAGGGUUUGAUUCGAAUAAGGCGGCACCACUGGUGGCUCUGGCUAGCUACAUUGCUAGCAGACACAACUGAUCUUUUGCAAUAAUUGAUCUUACCUCAAUGUAUCUAAUGUCCAAAGUCCAAACAAGUUCGUUUUGUUCGCUUUCUGGUCUUCUUUCUUAUGAAACUAUUUAUGUUGUGACUUCUCUGUGUUUUCAGGUCGUAAUUUGUCUUUUGAGAUCUUAAUGUCAUGUCUCAACAAAUAUCAUGCGCACAUGGGAACAAAGCAAGUGGGUAUACUAAGAACGAGGUUAUAUAUGUGGAUUCCCCGUUUAAAUGAUCAUCUGACGUUUUGUAUAUAAUUUAUGUUUUAGGCUUUAGCUACAUGAGUCGUUGGGUUGUAUCUCUGUGUGUGAUCACUGAUUAGUUAAAAUCACAAUAUUUGUAUUUGUGAAGUUAAAUUCUCUUUUAAGUACCCUUGUUUUGUAUUUAAUUAGUACCUAUGCUUUUAGACGAAAGACUUUGUCUAAUCUUCAUAUCCAAAUUUCAGCUAAUUUUAAGUAUGCUCCUUGUUUUUUUUUUUUUUUUUGUCUUAAACUCUUAUCUAAAUGAGGAAACAUACACUAAUAUGAAAGGGAUGAAAGAGAACAACUGAAAGCAAGGUUCCUUAUUUCCCACGGCAAUGGGUUAUAUCAUGACUUUUAAGUCAACAACUUAGAAUCUUCAGAUUUAAACUCGGUUCGAGGAAGAAGAGUGCAGAUUAGGGGAUGAGCCAUGGUCAAGGACAAUCCUUCAAGAGUCUCUUCCAUGCUAACAGUUUUAUCUCCACUGAUUAUCCAGUCAGAGCACUGAACCAUCAUUCCAACUCCGGUUUCGAGAAAGAUAUAUCCAAGAUUUUCUCCAGGACAGCCUCUCCUUCCGCUGCCAAAUGGAAUUAACUUAAGGAUUUUCUUUCUUUCAUCUUCUUGCUCAGAACUUGAAGAAGCAAGAAACCUCUCUGGCUUAAACUCAUCAGGAUCUCUCAUAACAGCGUAAAUGUUCACAACAAGUGUUGUCCUCGCCGGUAUGUGAAACCGUCCAACCUUAAUUCUUCAAACAUCCUUAACAUAAGAGGCGCUACCGGGUGAAGUCUUAGUGUUUCCUUAACCACCGCUUGCAAAUAAGGAAGUCUUGGUAGAUCCGUUUCUUGAAUCAACCUUGUUUUCCCUACCACAGAAUCUAUUUCUUGCCUCAACCUCUCAAGAAUAUUUGGUUUGCUGAGGAUCUCAGCCAUUGCCCACUGCAUCAACUUUGCAGUGCUGUCAGUGCCUGCAAGGAAAAACUCCUGAAAGUGCAGACACAAACGUAUUCUUAGUCGUUGAUAAAAAUGAGUUCUUUGAUAUUUUUCUCUGAAAAUAAACAAUAAUUACCACGAUCAACAACUUGAUGUGAUUUCUAGUGAUCUUAUAGUCUACUUUUUCAUCUCUAGAAGCUGCCAAUAAAACGUCCAUCAUGUCUGUAUCUUGAUGUUUAUCUUCGUGUUCCCGGAGAAGCCUCUCUAGCAGCUCAUUGAAUCCGCUGGAGACCCUUCGAAUCUCCUUCUCAUUAAGCGGCUUACCUAACAUGUUUGAAAAGAAAAAUUUCUUAAACAAACCCAUUGUCUUGGUCACUGAGUCUCUGACCUUCUCUGCCUCACCGUCCUCCUCAGAGCAACUCCUCCCAAUGAGCAACUUGGACAUGAUGUUGUUAGUGAGCACCAUUGCUUCCUUUCCUAUCUCAACACUCUCCUUCUUUCUCGCCUUGUCGAGCAGUCUUGCGUAAAACCGCUCUAGCUCAUCUGCACGGAUGCCUCGUGACCGCUCCAGUGCCUGAGUACCCAACAUAUUCAUGACCAAGACCUUCUUCAUGAACUUGUGAUAAUCUCCGAAGUCAGCGCCUACGAAUGUUUCAUGUCCGAUAAAGAGAGAAUUCUCCAGUGUACGAAAACCACGUGAUGAGACAUUCACAUCGUGCGUCCUGAAGAGCUCGUAUGCCCUAGAGGCCGAGGAGGCAAGGACUAAGGGGACUUUGAAUAUACGGAGGUGGAGGAGACCUCCGUACCUGGAUGAGAUAUUCUGAAAAGACUUGUGUGGUAGAACAGAAAGGAGAAGGUGAAGAUGUCCUAUGAUGGGCAGAGAAGGAGGGCUCGGAGGCAAAUCAAAGCCAUCUUUUGGUUUCUUGAAGAAGAUAUAGUAACAAAGGAGCGAGAAGAAGCAUAGGAAGAUCAAGAUGAAGCAAUUUAAAAAGUCAAUGGUGAUCAUUGCUUCCAUUGUUGCUCAAUGGAAUAUAGUACAUUUCUAAUGAUACAUUAUAUAAAGACACAGGUUUGUAACCAGAUUAACUAUUAAAAUUGAGUAAAUAGUGUUCACUGUCCAAGAAAACAGACAACUAAGGUUUCCACAUGAAUCAUGUGGAUAAAAUAUUUCCAUAAAUUAGCAUUUUAUAUUGUCACUAACCUUGUUAAAUGGAUUGUUUAUAUUAGUAGAUAUGAUUGGACGAAGCACUGAGUUUCACAAGGAAUCACUUUGAGUCCCUGGCAAAGGGUGCUAGUCCCCACUUCUAUAGCCACAUACCUAAACAUUUACUAAUAUUCUUAACUAUGCGUUUAACAAGGUUAGUGACAAAAUAAUUGCUAACUUAUGGAAAUGUUAUAUCCACAUCAUCCAUUUGAAACCUUAAUUGUCUGUCACCUUGGACAGUGAACAUUAUUUACUCAAAAUUUUAAAAGUUAGUCUGAUUGCAACUGUUGAAAGUAACAUGUAUUUUUUUAUAUGUAUCAUUAAAAAUGGACUAGCUUUCAGUUGAGCAACAAUGACAGCAAUGAUCACCGUUGACUUUCUAAACAGCUUCAUAUUGACCUUCCUAUGCUUCUUCUGGCUCCUUUGUUACUAUCUCUUCUUCAAGAGACCAAAAGAUGGCUUUGAUUUGCCUCGAAGCCCUCCUUCUCUGCCCAUCAUCGUGCAUCUUCACCUUCUACUCUAUGUUCUACCACACAAGGCUUUUCAGAAGAUCUCAUCCAGGUAUGGACCUCUCCUCCAACUCUGCAUAUUCAAAGUCCCCUUAUGCCUCGUCUCCUCGGCCUCGGUGGCCUACGAGAUCUUCAGGACGCAUGACGUGAAUGUCUCAUCACGUGGUAUCCGUACACUAGACAAUUCUCUCUUCUUCGGACAUGAGACAUUCACAGGCGCUCCCUUUGGGGAUUAUUACAAGUUCAUGAAGAAGCUCCUGGUCAUGAAUCAAACAUGUUAGGUAAGCCGCUUAAGAAGCUUGGCAUCUCACUCUUCUAAAAGGAGAUUCGAAGGGUCUCCAGCCGAUUCGAUGAACUGCUAGAGAGGCAUCUCCGGGAACACGAAGAGAAACCAGAGAAACAUCAAAAUACAGAUAUGAUGGACGUUUUAUUGGCAGCUUCUAGAGAUGAAAACGCAGAUUAUAAGAUAACUAGAAACCACAUCAAGUUGUUGCUAGUGGUAACUGUUCUUUUCAGAAGAAAUAUCAAAGAAAAAAAAAACUCAUUUUAUCAGGACUAAAUAAAACGUUUGUGACUGUAUUUUCAGGAGCUUUUCCUUGGAGGCACUGACAGCGCUGCGAAGUUAAUCCAGUGGGGCAAUGGCUGAGAUCAUCAGCAACCCAAAUAUUCUUGAGAGACUAAGGCAAGAAAUGUAUUCUGUAGUCGGGAAAACAAGGCUGAUUCAAGAAACCGAUCUACCUUAGACUUCCCUAUUUGCAAGCAGUGGUUAAGGAAACACUAAGAUUGCACCCACCAGCGCCGAUUUUGGUAAGAAUGUUCGAAGAAGAAUGUAAGGUUCGAGGGUUCCGCAUACCGGAGAAGACAACACUUGUUGUAAACGCUUACGCUGUUAUGAGAGAUCCUAAUUUCUGGCAAGAUCCUGAAGAGUUUAAGCCAGAGAGGUUUCUUGCUUCUUCAAGAUCUGAGCAAGAAGAAGAGGGAGAGAAAGUUCUUAAGUUUCUUCCUUUUGGCAGUGGAAGGAGAGUCUGUCCUGGAGCAAAUCUUGGAUAUAUCUUUGUAGAAACCGGAGUUGGAAUGAUGGUGCAGUGCUUUGACUGGAGAAUCAGUGGAGAUAAAACUGUUAACAUGGAAGAGACUGCUGCAGGAUUGUCCUUGACCAUGGCUCAUCCCCUAAUCUGCACUCUUCUUCCUCGAACUGAUUCCUUUGAGUUCAAAUCUCAAGAUUCCAAGUUGAUAACUUAGAAAAUAUCUCUGCUGAUUGAUCGGAGACCUACAGGCCACUUGCGUGGGUAAUAAGGAAGCUUGCUCUUCCAUCUCUUUCUUAGAAUGUAUGUUUCUUUGUUUACUAGAUUACAUAUUUUUGCUCUCUUCCUCAAUAUUAAUAUAUCUUGGUUUAACAUUUUGAAAAAUUCAUGUUGGAGACUACUAUUAAUAAUGCUUUAAUGAUUAGAGAAUGACUUUCUGUCUUAAGACGUUGCUUCUAUGCACAGUGACCAAAACCAAAAGUGAGUCGAUGAGGUUCACCAUCAGUACAUGUAUAUGACUCUAAUAAGCACUACAGUAAAAAGUAUUACUUAGACAAACAAUGAAUUGUAACAAAAAUAAAAUCUUGCAUCAUCCAUCAUUCUAUGUCAAUGUCACCCAUCUGGUGCACUUCAGAUAAUAUGCAAAUGGAACUAACAGGCAAGAAAAGAACAGAAAACCAAGUCAAUCCACAAAACAAGUAAAACAUCUAACUUUACAAAACAUGAGUAAAUUGUUCAUCCUGUUGGCAAUCAAGAUACUUAAUCACCUCCGCAUCCGCCUCCACCACCUCCAUCUCCACAACCGCCACCUCCUCCCCCUCCUCCACAACCACCACCACCUCCUCCCCCUCCUCCACAACCGCCACUUCCUCCCCCUCCCCCACAACCACCACCUCCACCUCCACAACCACCAGAACUACCAUAGAUAACGGCUCCAGCAACUGGUAUGGCAGUGCCAGUGCCUGUCAGAAUGACAAGAUCUCCAUCUUUGGUUCUAUACACAGGCGUCUGGAGCUGCAGUGGCUGUGGUGGCCGUGGUAGAGGCGGCGGUGGGGAAGGAAGCUUAGUAUUGCGGGUGAUGAUGCAGCCUAUGAUGAUAACCACCACUGCUAAAACAGCGCAGGCAACAAGUCCGAUGACCAAGUUCGACAUUUUCUUAAGUUUCUUCCCUCAUUUCUUGAAUGAAACUAAUGGAACUAUUGACGUACUCUAUAAAUACUCCCUUGUAAUUUAUAAACUCCUUUUUAUAUAAAAAGCUUGACCAAGGUUAUUUAGUCUUACAAGAAACUCGUAACAACAAUAAGUUGAGACUCAUUCUCCAGCCUCAUUCAUAACAAUCUUAUAUCUAGGCAAAACUAUUGACCAUUGACAUAUAUAGUCUAGUUUAUCAUGACCUGGCUCGAAGACAAGCAAGCUUUUGACAAAGUGUAGUACUCUUAUACAAAGUGUAGUACCGUCCCACUUUCUGUCUACAGUAGAACACAACAUAUACAUUACACAAUUAGAAGGGGAAGAAAAGCCAAGGAGAUAUAUGGAACAAAUAGAAUAUGUUUUUGACUGAUGCAAGCGAAUCAGGGUUUAAUCAUAUCUUGAAGGUGAACGUGAAUCAUAUGACCUGUGUGAACCAUGAGACCUUUGUGAACCUGAAACGUUUAGUCUUGGAAGAUGAAACUGAUGAUAUUGAGGCUGUGGUUCCAUCGGCUGUCUGAGAUUCCUGCAGUUCGUGACCGAGACCGUGACCUGUAAGUUCAGCUCUGGAAGACGCUGCAGAUUCUGACAGUCAUUGAUUCUCAGGUUUCUUAGAGCGUUCGGACCAUACGAAUGCUCCUUCGAUAGCUGCAAAGACUGCAGAGAUAUGCAGUUAUCAAACUCAAGCGUGUGGAGGUUGGCGAAAUGGCCUAAAGGAAAUGUAACGAGAGAGUCACAGCUGCUUUUUAUGCUUAGCCUUUGAAGAUUCCUGUAGCUGUACUCGUGGUGGUCUGGCUGGAAAUCUAAGACCCCACAUUUAUGGAUAUGAAGAGAUAUCAGAGAAGGAAGAAAAGUCGGUAGAUUCCCGGUUAGCUCCGGACAUCUUAGUAUGGAAAGUUUCUUUAGAGAAGGGAAUAAGUCUCCUUUGGUGACCCUUAUGUCUGACCAGUCUUCCAAAUCCGGCAGAUUAUCAAACCGCAGCGUUUCAAGUGACUUAAACGGCUGUUGGUCUCGAUCGCGCAGUGAUGGACUUAAGUAGAACUCGGAACCUAUGCUUCUGAGCCCGACCAUUCCUGAAAUGUAAAGCUCUUUGAGACCUGGGAGUUGACCAAAAGAUGGCAACGAGGAACGGUUUCGACAUUCUCUGAGGCGUAUGCACACAACUCUUGAGAACGAGGAAUCACACAGCCAAUCUGGAAACUUUUUUCCGUUGUAUCUCUCAAUGGCGAGCUUCUCGAUACGACGAUGUGGGCGUAACUUCUCAAAGACUUCAGCUUCGUUCUGCGUCCGGUGAGGAUUUGUAUUGCUCUCUGAGCUACUAGAUCCAGUUCUCCAGAUAAAAUCAAUCUCUUUUAGAUGUUUCUUGCUGUCUAAAUUUGCUCCUGCAGCAUCAGCAACAUCCACAACUCGCUGUAGCUCGACUAUUCUGAGUUUGCCAUGGAGUUCAUCGAGUUCUCCAAGUUCACAAAUCCUUGCCCCAUCACUAGCACUCACGAAAAAUGUUGUAAGAGUCUGGAGGCUCUUCAAUCUACCAAAUCUUUUCGGCAUUCGUUUUAGCUUCGUCCCAAUCAGAUCAAGAUACCGCAGAUUGAUGAGGUUGCAGAUGUCUGUAGGUAGGUCCUUCAGACUGGAACAGUAGGCCAAAAGAAGUGUCUGGAGGUUAUACAUAUAACAAAGGGACUUCGGAAGCUUCUCGAGUUCAGUGCGAGAGAGAUCCAAGAACCGCGCAUGGCUCAAGUUCCUGAAAAAGUCUGGAGGCAGCCUUGAGAUCUUGUAAUGUGACAAAGACAAAACACGCAAGCGGGUAAGCGUUGGAAGUAGCUUCUCGCUGACCAUUGUAUCUAAGCAGCAUGACCGCGAAGAAUUUGUGAGGCUGAGUGGUAGAAAAGUUCUGAGAUACUUCACCUCACGGAGAGCUUCAAACCUCAUAGGUUCACCGUAAUUAUCUCGUAGGUAGGAUAGAUACCUAGUCUUUUCUGAAAUCUGAAAUUUGCAGCCAUUUUCAAACUUGGAGCUGAACUCUCCUGAAGCAAACUGAGAAAGCUCAUUGAUGAAGUCAUGCAUCAUAUAUCUAGUCUUGGUCUUUUGGAAAAGCGACCUUGAUUCCAGUUCUGAAAAGUACUCAUCCCCAAGCUCUUCUAGAUUCUUACUGCUUCUCGUCUGCUGCAAGAAACCUUCUGCCAUCCACAGAAGAACUACCUUUUCCUUCUCAAACGCAUGCCCUUUGGGAAAUAUCGAACAAUAGGCAAAACAUCGUUUCAAGUGAGCUGGAAGGUAAUAGUAGCUUACCCGUAAAACUGGAAGUAGAUUGCUCUUAUCAGCUGGAAGAUCCCAAAUCCUGCUGCUUAGAACUCUCUCCCAUUCUACGACGUUACCUUCAAACCGUAAAACACCACCAAGUGUUUUCGCAGCCAAGGGCAAGCCGUGGCACUUGUACACUAUCCUCUCCGCAAGAUCUCCAAUUUCUUGAUCUAAGCACGGAUCUUGAUUAGGAAAAACGGUUCUCAUAAACAACGACCAGCAAUCUCCAUCAGAUAAUGGCUUAAGGUUGUGUACAUGGACAGAACACAUAAUGGUUGCAACGCGUUGGCUUCUUGUUGUCACAAUAAUCCGGCUCCCUCGAGCAGCAGAUGUGAAGGGUUGGCGUAGAAGAUCCCAAUCCGCAAAAUUUUCAUUCCACAGAUCAUCUAGAACAAGCAGAAACGGUCCUAUUAACCUCUCCUUCAAUUUGACUUGAAGUACAUCCAGAUCGGUGAACUCGCAAGGCCGGGAAGUAACAGAUUCAUAAACCUUCUUGGUGAUCUUGAAAACGUCAAACUCCUCUGAGACAUGAGCCCAGACCCUAGUUCCAAAAUGACUCUGAACACGCUGAUCGUUGUAUAGGAGUUGUGAAAGUGUGGUUUUGCCAACCCCACCAAUUCCAACAAUAGCUACAACGGCUGUCCCGCUAUCCUCCCCGUUCUCAGGAAUCAAGAGUCUCAUGAUCUCAUCUUUAUCAUCACCUCUACCAAACACUUCAGAUUCAUCCACAAGAGAUGUCGUUGGCAACCUUUGUUUGGGUGUCAUUGCAGUUAUCUCUUUCAAACCCAAAACAUUUCUUUGUGAGGCUAAACGCUCGAGCCUUAUCGUGACCUUCGCGAGCCUGGUCUCCAAAUGAUCACUGCUCCCAUCCAAAAGAUCUCCCAGGGUUCUGAUACGAAGCUGUCUCAGCGUAUUGGAAGAAGAUUCAGCUCCUAUGUUGAGACGCAGAGCUUCUGUAGCAAUAUCAUCAAGAGCAUCCUCAGCAUGGUAAACAACAUCCCUCAGUUCGUUGACCCAUUUUUCCACCGCUGGGUUUGUAAUCUGUUUCUCCUCCGCAUCAAUCAGCACCGCGCUUAUUGUCAACAACGCAGUGUUGAGCCUCUCUAGUACACACUCGUUCAGUUCUCGCCUCUUGAAGAAGGACUUGAAAGGACCAGACAUUAACGUCUGAAAGAGAGCUUGUAGAAAAGCCGAGAGAAUUAACUCUCCUCCAGUCAUCUUGUCUGUCUCUGCACACAGAAAGACCUCUGGGGAAACAAAAUAAACAAGAGAAGAAAUCAAGAAUUUGAAGCUUUAUGUCUCAGGAAAUCAAUAACUUCACAGCAGGAUAUUUAUUUCUUCAGUUUACAUUCGCAGAAUCAAAUAUUCCAAUAAGUAAGAAAUUACAAGGCAAGUGGUAGGAAAAAUCAGAGAAACUAACAAUAACUAAACUUGAUAAAACACCGAAGUAUAUUCUACCUUCACCAAGUGAAACUACCACGAAAAUGACUAGAAGUUGCCUGCAUUUUCAUAGAGAAACUCGAGGAUGGAAUCAAACGGACCAAAACUUAUAUGAACAAUGAAUUAGUCAGAACUUAUAAAGAAUGAAUUAAUCAAAUUGUUUACUUUAGAUCAAAAUGGCAGAUGAAUUCGCCGAGUUGACUUGAAAAACUACUCAGCAAAUUCUGUUAAGCAACAUAACUGUAGCAGUUUAAUAAACAGGUAAGAGACGACUUCAAAUUAAAAAAAGUGCAUCGUCCACAAACGAACAAAAUAUUAAAUUCGAGAAUGAUUCUCUUAUGAGCUGGCACGAAACUGUCUUGGUCUACCAACUGAGACAAAGUCAAUCUUACAAGGUAACACACAAAAAUGCAAAACCGUGUGUUAAAUCAACGGAUGUACAUUUUGGAGUCUUCGUAAAUGAUUGCUUAGGCCUUUAAUUGUUUUUGUCUUCUAUAGGGUCAAGGCGUGAAGGGUCUACAGUGUCCUUCUGGAGCGCUAUUGGCUUAAGCACAACCGAGAUUAGACAUGUAGAUUUAACGGAUUAAAUUUGUUAAAAUUGUGAAAAAAAACUUGUUAAAAUUGUGAAAAACAUCAUGAACCAAAAUAUUUUAUGAGAAAAGUAGUUUUAGUUUAAAUUUUCUAUACCAUCUGUCAAAUCCGUAACAGAUCAUUUACAUCAAUUAGAGAAGGUAUAAAAUAGAUUGUGUAAAAUACAAGAAAACUUACAUCUUGUGGUAUUUAUUGGUUGAACCGAGACAUUGGCAGGACCUUUUCUUCCCUGAGCUUUCUUAAGGCUGAAUAUUAUGCAGCCAAACCCUUUUUCGCUUCCUACAUAGAUCCAAAAAUCCAGACACAAGGCUGAACAUAAGAGAAAGAAAAAAAGUAAGAAUAAGAAGGCAAAGAAGCGUGAAAAUUCUGCUUCACCGUGUGUUUGGAAAUAGGGAAGAGGACGGAGACAACACAAGACAAAGGUAGAACUCAUAGUGCAGGUCAGAUUCACCUUAUUUCUUCCUUAAUUUGUCCUCUUUUUCUGGAAUGUAACUCAUUGAAUGCUCCAUGUCCAUGAGCACUGCAAGGAAAUUUUAAUAAUAGUUUAGAAAAUGGAGAUGUAUUAUAACAGUUCUACGCAAAAUGUCUGUAAACUUGUGGAUCUCGUGAUCAAGUGGAAGACAAUAAUCUCUAAAAUCUUGACAUUAUUACCACUUGCUGCAGGCCAGCUGACAAAUUGCAUAAGGAACAGCAAGUCAAUAAACCCUUUCCGCUUUGCUUAUUCCAAUAACUGGCUUGCGAUUUUCCUGAGUUGCAUCUCCUUGGCUCCAACAAGCUACGAGGGAAGACAUGGCGAAGUUCUAUUCCUCAAAUGGCGCGAACGUGAUGAUUGAACGGAUUAACAAUUCUCAAGAAUUGGUCGAAUUAUGCAAAGGAAAGUCCUCCGGUGCAUUGCUGAAGAGAUUGAAGGUCGCUUUGGCCACUGUCCACCCGGUGAUUGCGGACGCUGAUCAGAAAGCAGAUCAUGUCCGAGAAGUAAAACAUUGGCUUACAGGACUCACAGAUGCUUUCUUCCAGGCAGAGGAUGUUCUUGAUGAGUUACUAACAGAGGCUUUGAGAAGAAGAGUAGUAGCUGAAGUGGGAGGAUUCGGGGGACUAUUCCAGAAUCUUAUGGGUGGUAACGAAGCCAACAAGAAUAAGAUAGAACGAAAGAUGGAAAACGUAGUAAGACUGCUGGAACAUCAUGUGAGACACAUAGAAAUUAUUGGAUUAAAAGAAUAUAGCGAGACUCGGGAACCACAGUGGAGGCAAGCGUCACGGUCCAGACCUGAUGAUCUUCCACAAGGCAGAGUGGUUGGGCGAGCAGAAGAUAAAGUAGCAUUACUCAACUUGCUGCUUUCUGAUGAUGAAACAGGCAUUAGGAGACCAGCUCUGGUUUCCACUGUAGGUAUGCCUGGGGUUGGAAAGACAACCUUGACGCAGAUAGUUUUCAAGGACGACAGUGUGACCAACCACUUUGAUGUUAAAAUGUGGGUUUCUGUUGGGCUAAACUUUAAUGUCUUCACGGUUACAAAAGCCGUACUGCAGGAGAUCACUUCAAGUGCAGUUAAUACUGAGGAUCUACCUUCACUUCAACUUCAGCUGAAGCAAGAACUAUCAGGGAAGAGAUUUUUACUCGUUCUGGAUGAUAUUUGGUCUGAAAGUAGCACAGAGUGGGAAAGCUUCAAGGUCGCCUUUACUGAUGUAGAGGAAGGAAGUAAGAUUGUUAUAACAACACGAAAUGACAUUGUCUCCACAGCCGCACAGGCUGACAAAGUCUACCGAGUGAAGCUGAUGACCAAUGAAGAAUGCUGGGAGCUGAUCUCUAGAUCUGCUUUUGGAAAUAUCUCAGUCGGUUCUAUCAACCAAGAACUUGACGGGAUUGGCAAAAGGAUUGCAGAACAAUGUAAGGGCUUACCGUUAACUGCAAGAGCCAUCGCAUCUCAUCUCCGGUCAAAGCCAAAUCCUGACGACUGGUAUGAUGUAUCAAAGAAUUUCUCGACAUACACUAACAGCAUCCUUCCAGUUCUUAAACUGAGCUUUGACACUCUCCCUCCUGUACUCAAGCGAUGUUUUUCACUCUGCUCGAUAUUCCCCAAGGGUUAUGUGUUCAAAAGAGAGGAGUUGGUGCUUCUAUGGAUGGCAAUAGACCUCUUAUACCAGCCAAGGAGUAACAAAAGAUUAGAAGAGAUUGGUUAUGAUUACAUUGAUGAUUUAGUUGGUCGAUCUUUCUUCCUGAGGUUGGACAUCAAAAUGAAAAGCUUCGUGAUGCAUGAUCUCAUGAAUGAUUUGGCUAAAGCUACUUCAGGAGAUUUUUGCUUCAGACGGGAAGAUGACAAUAUUGCGGAGGUGCCAAGCAAGGUUCGACAUUUUUCCUUUUCCAGAAGCCAGUGUGAUGCUUCCAUGGCUUUCAAGUCCAUCUCUGGAGCUGAGUUUCUUAGAACCAUUCUUCCCUUCAAUGUUCCAACCGGUCUUGAAUCUCUCCAGCUCACAGAGAAAAUUUUGAAUCCAUUGCUUCAGGCAUUGAGCAGCCUGAGAAUUCUCAGCUUGUCUCAUUAUCAGAUAACUCGCUUGCCUAAAUCAUUAAAGGGUUUGAAGCAGUUACGGUAUCUAGAUCUGUCAAGCACCAAAAUAAAAGACCUCCCAGAGUUUGUGUGUACACUCUGUAAUUUGCAGACACUGUUACUAUCAAACUGCCGUUACCUGACUAGCCUACCAACAGACAUAGCCGAACUCAUCAACUUGCGCCUCCUCGACCUUGUUGGCACUCCCUUGGUACAGAUGCCGCUAGGAAUAAGAAAGCUGAGAAGCUUGCAGAAGUUAUCUAAUUUUGUUGUAGGAAGGCUGAGCGGAGCCGGACUGCAUGAGCUCAAAGAACUUUCUGAUCUCCGAGGGACUCUUCGCAUCUCUGAGCUACAAAAUGUGGCCUUCGCCUCAGAAGCAAAAGACGCUGGUUUGAAAAGAAAGCAAUUGCUUGAUGGGUUAAUACUGAAGUGGACUGUGAAAGCUUCUAGCUUCGCCCCUGGUAGUCUUAGUACAUUGUCUUGUGACCAGAAAGAGGUCCUGAAGAUGCUAGAACCUAACCCAAACUUGAAAACGUUCUGCAUUGAGUCUUAUCAGGGUUCAGAAUUUCCUAAAUGGUUGGGUGAUUCUUCAUUCAAUAGUAUUGCAUCUGUCACUCUCAGUAGCUGCAACCUCUGCAUAUCACUACCUCCCCUUGGGCAGCUGCCUUCACUCAAGUACCUCAGCAUUGAGAAAUUUAACAUUCUGCUGAAGGUUGGUCUAGACUUCUUCUUCGGUGACAACACCUCUAGCUUUGUACCGUUUCAAUCCUUGCAAACUCUGAAAUUCUAUGCGAUGCCGAGAUGGGAAGAAUGGACUUGUCCAGAACUAGAAGAUGGGAUCUUCCCUUGUCUCCAGAAACUAAUGAUAGAAAAAUGCCCCCGCUUAAGGAAAAAAUUUCCAGAAGGACUCCCUUCUUCAACUGAAGUCGCCAUCUCUGAUUGCCCCCUAAGAGCAGUUGGUGGGGGAGAAGGUUCCUCCCCAGGGAAUAUCAGCAUAACGGAACCACCACCUUCCCCUGCAGAGAGUCCAACGUUGGAUGCGAAUCCAAGUUCUCAAUCAGAUAUAGGUACAAGUAGUCAGAGUAAUGAUGACACUGAAGUAACUUCAACAUCAAGCAUGUCUUCUUUGCCAAAAAACCAUCCACUAUCAGAAGAGAUGGACCAGUAUAUAACUCAGCUUGAAAGCUCACAUCAGCAUAUUGAAGAACCUGCUGUGAUAUCUGCAAGGUUCUCAGAACUCAUCUCCUCCGCUGAUCUCAGCUCCAUACUGUCACAAUCACCACUUCGUCUAGAUCCCAAAAAUAGAGGCUUUGGUCACCCUGGAAGUAGUAGCAGCCAGAACCAGCCACAGCCACAAGAACAGCUGCUUGUUCCAAGUGGACCAUCUAGUGAUAACGGUAUAACCAGGCCUUCGCAAUCUAAUGAUGAAACAGACAUUGAAUACUUAAAAGUGACAGAUAUCUCUCACCUCAUGGAGCUUCCCCAGAACCUGCAGUCACUCCACAUCGACACCUGCGACGGACUAUCUUCUUUACCGGAAAGCCUCUCCGAAAGCCACCCAAAUCUCCACGAACUCCUCCUCGUCGCCUGUCACUCACUAGAAUCCUUCCCUCCAACCACAUUAAAAACACUCUACAUAAGAGACUGCAAGAAACUCAACUUCCAAGAAAGCCUACAACCAACGCGCAGCUACUCACAGCUAGAGCACCUCUCCAUCGAAACCAGCUGCAGCAACAACCUCAUCACCUUCCCUCUAUCCCUCUUCCCAAAGCUCAAAUCCCUCUCAAUCACAGCCUGCGAAAGCUUCAGAACCUUCUCCAUCCACGCCGGACUCGGAGACGACCGAAUCGCACUCAAAUCCCUAGAAAUCAGAGAUUGCCCAAACCUAACAACCUUCCCGCCCGGAGGCCUCCCGACGCCGAAGCUCUCUUCGAUCCUCCUCUCAAACUGCGAGAACCUCCGAGCGUUACCGGAGAAGCUCUUCGGCCUCACGUCUCUCCAAUCGCUCUUCGUAAUCAAAUGCCCAAAGCUCGAUUCCAUCCCCGGCGGAGGCUUCCCGAGCAAUCUCCGAACGCUCUGCAUCAACCUCUGCCCCAAGCUGACGCCGCGGAUCGAAUGGGGGUUGCGAGAUCUAGAGAAUCUUCGGAAUCUCGAGAUCGAAGGAGGUAACGAAGACAUCGAAUCGUUUCCUGACGAAGGAUUGCUGCCGAGAGGGCUAUUUUCUCUGAGGAUAAGCCGAUUCGAGAAUCUCAGUACGUUGAAUCGGUUAGGGUUUCGAGAUACGAAGGGUUUGGAGACGAUGGAGAUCGACGGCUGUGAUAAGCUGAGGAUAUCGAUGGAGGAGGAUCUUCCUGCUUCCUUGUCGUGUUUGCGGAUAAGCUCUUGUUCGUUGUUGAGCGAGAAACUUGCUGAGGAAGGAAGAGAGUGCGUCUUUAGUAUUCCGUAUGUGGAAAUAGACGGCGAGAUCUUCUCUUGAGGAAAUGUUUUUUUAUGUAAAAGUUUAGAUACUAGUGACCUAACUUGAUGCGCACGACUUGUGAAAAUAUAAGAACUUUUAAAAGAAAAUGCUCCAAAAGACAGAGAUGAUGAAAUAGAGAGAAGUAUCUCAGAACCUAACAAGAACACUCCAAAUUCGGAAGCAGGAACAUAGUGUUUCCAGCUACUAGCAUAAGUGGAGAUAAGUGUUCUAAAACUUAAAAGAUAACGAAAGAAAUAAAGUUGCUGAAGGGAACAAAAUGUUUGCAAUCAUCUCUCUAGUUUGUAGAUGGUGGUCGAGUGAUUCGUGGCCUUACUGGUGUCUUUGAUGGACUUACCCUGAAAAGAGAGAAGAAAAUUGAGUCAAAUAUUGAUCCAACUGAGAUAGUUUAAAAAAGAAAAAGAAAAAAAAGCUUUUACUACAUUGCAUUGAUGAAGUUUUUACCUUAUGGGUUGGGAUCCAACAACCAUCCCGCUGCAAUUGAGCGCCCUAGUUGCACUAUCCGCCUGUUCGUUUGAAAAUAAAACAAAUAUAAGUUUCUGAAGUUGCAUGUGAAUACAAGUUCAAGCAUGUCAAAGGGAAUAGACUUGCAAUGUGAUAAGCAACACCCAUGAAGAAAAUUUACCCUUGGUGGAUAGAUAAAGACCUUACCAGAGCAAACUCAACAAAAGCAAUGCGAGUUGAAUGCAGUUGAUCGCCAAGAAGCCUUAGACGAGUUACCUGCAUAUAUUUGGAAAACAACUUAUGCAUCAUCACUCCUUAAAAUAAAAUUUUCAGGUCAUUUAACAACUUAUAAGGAGAGAGAGACAGAGAGGACGAAAGAUUAAGGUCUAGGUUAUGUUCUGACCUCACCACAUGCUGACUCAAAGAAGUUUCUCAUGUCAGCUUGAGAAACCUGCAGUUUACGAAAAUAUAUAUAUAUUAAACCAGGAAAUACUAGAAAUAAAAACAUGUUUUUCCCAAAAUGGUCAGCAUUUUCACCUUUUUGUCAAUGUUUGUGCAAUAGAUUGUCCUUGAACACAUCUCCCUUUCAUCUUCAGACUGCAUCAAACACCAAACAUAGUAGAUAUCAAAGUAAAUUCAAAACUGGAAACUCAAACCAUAUUUAACUAAUGGAACAUUUGAGCUUUACCCUUGGAAGAAAUGUGGGAUUCACGGGAAGAAUAGCAGUUUUUGAGGGUAAGACCCUCACAGGGUAGUACCCCAACAUCGUUCCACCAAGGCUUAAAGCUUCAUGUGCCCCCUCUAUGGAAACCAUUUUACAAUGUAAGUGGUCACUAUGGGACAACCAGUGACAUGGAAACUUUUUGUUAUUGCAUUUUAAGAUUCUAGAAGCCAAACUUACGGUCAUCAGCAAACUCCACAAACGCAAAUCGAAGAACUGAAUGUGGAUCCCCACAAAUUCGACAGUCAACAACCUUCACAAAAGAAGAACUCACCGAGUUAUAUCACAUACCACCAAAGAAACAUAUAAGAUCAUAAAACGUAAUUAUUUGCAGUAAUAUUUAGCACAUAAUCACAUAUAGGCUUUAAAAGCUCAUUAACAAAAAAAAAAAAAACUCUCAAUCAACCAUUUUUAUAGACUCAAUAACUUCGUCUAAACUAAUCACAUUGUCCAUAAACCACAAAGGGGUAAAAGAUAAAACAAGCAUUUAAAGCUUAAGGGAUCAUUCUUACUUGUCCACAGUUACUAAACAAAGCAGCAAGACCCUCCUCAGUCACCUAUAUCACAAACCAGCUUUACAUUACACUGAUACAAAUUAACUCGAAUUCUUUGUAUAACCAUCAGAAGACAAUUAAAAAAAAACUUACACUCUGGUCAAUGUCAGAAACAUACACUGUUCUCCUAAUACUAUCCUCUCUCUGAGCUUUUGAAAUUCUUCCAGUCAACCUCUUCCUCCCUUGGCUAUAAUUGUUUCUUUUCUGUAAUCACAAAACAGAAUAAAAAAAAUGUUUGCACAAAACAAACCUCUUCAACCAAAGUUUACAGAUUUACAACAACAAAAAGUAAGCAGAUCAAUCUAAGAUUAUCUAAUCAUAAUUUAUUUUUUUAAAAGAAUGUUUCAGAUUAUACCUUCCGGUUAUUGUCAUCCUUCUUUCCAUCAGAAUCAAAUUCUUCACCAGAUUGCUUCUUAGCCGUUGGUAAAUCGUCAUCAACGGACAGCAAUUGGUUACCUUCUGUAGUUUCACCAUUCUUCUUGGGACUGUAGUAAGAGGGAAAAAACUCCUUAGCCAAAGGAUUCAGUUUCUUGAACAUAGCCACCAGCUUUUGCAUAUCUAACUCGGAUUCAGGUUUGAGCUCGGACUCUGUCUCGGGUUCCAAGCCCGUGCUCUUCUCAGUUUUGUCAUCGAUGAUCUUUUCAGCAUCUUUCUUGAUACAUAUCUCAUGAACAUCUUUGACAACAACAUCAGUGGGAUCCUCAGUGAUGUCAGCCAUUGGAUCAAAUGAUGAUGAUGAACGGCCAAAAGUUCUCCUUAAUAAGAAUUAACACUUUACAGAAAAUGAUGAUCAAAAUAUAAAAAUGUUAUUAUUAAUGAAACUCCACCAAAUUAACGUAAGCAAACGCAAGAGUGCAUGAUCUGUUAGAUAUUAUAUGGAUCAGAAGGUGAGACAAAAAUGUACUAAUCAGCUCAUUGAGAGACAGAGUUUGCAAUUACAGAAAGAGAAACUUUUCUCUGUUGUGUGGUUAUGGCAAUGAGCAAAGGGAGGAGAUUGGAAGUAAAAAAGAAAAGAAUGAUGAGACUUUUUUUGCUUCCGUUUUGGCCGCUCUCUGUUUUGGCCUUUUCUACGUGUUACAAAGAUGCUAAAUUUCAUAAAUGCUUUUUUUUUUAUUUCUUGUGAGGACUCAUAUUUUAAUUGUCUUUGCAGCCCUGUAUUUUCUUUUUCUUUGUAAAAAGGUCUUUUAGUUUAUGAUUCUCUCAAAUUUCGAUGUAAUUCGAGUCAAUUUAAAUUGAUAUUUUAUUGUGUAAGGAAUCAUAUAAAGUGACGAAAUGGACCACCAGCUUUUAUUUUUAUUCCAUUUUCUGAUUAUAUUCUUCUUCUUUAUUUUCUUUUAUAGUUCCAUUCUGUUGUUCCACAUUUUUGCAUUUAAAAAAAAAAAAUUUGUGUCGUAGACUUGUUAAAUAACUAAUAAGUCCGUUGCCUGCUACUACUGCUGCAUAAAUCUUUGAGUUUGUUAGGAUUUCAUUUUCUCUUUUGAUAAGUUUCGUGUCUGGUCUCCCUCUCCAGUAUUUUUAAAAUUAAUUUAUAUGUUUAAUUGUGAAAGAAUAUAACAAAAAAUCUAUUAUUCAGCAACAGAAUCCACCGUCUUCGCGGUGAGUUUAUAAAUGUUUAUGUAGUUUAAAAUUCCAUGAUUUUUCUUUAACAAAACAAAAAGAAAAAAACUUCGUUGUGAGUUUGUAAAACUUGUUGGCUACAUUUGCCGACAAGAGAUGAAAUUUGUCAUAAUUAUUAAAAAUAUUAUAUUUUUUGUUUGUAAAACGUGUUGUGUAAACAAUGUUAUCAUGUUUGUUUGACUGCACAAGGAUAUGUUAUUACAACUUUGCAAAUAAUAGAUGGUUAUAACGAGACACUAUUAAAUUUAGUUUAAGAAAUAAAAAUGGCAGGUCAACUUUGAUAAGGUACCAACUUGUAUUUUAUGAUUGAAAACAUUUAGCACGUUUUCCCCCGGCUGCGAACAAACGACGCGACAUGUCACAACACUAGUAGGAUCGUCCUUCAAAGAUACGAUUACGCGCUUUGUGCGAGCCUGACUCUACCCAUUUUUCCGGCACUUCCAACGUUUCAGGCCCAUCUAGACCCAUCGGUGUUUCUACGAAACUCAAUAUGAACAAGGAACUUACUAUAUAUAUGCAGGAUUUUAAUAGUUGGGCCUAACGAUAUGUACAUCGGCCAUUUCCCACAACAACGUCGUGUUAUCGACUAAUUGACAAACAACAAACAAGUAUUGUCGCAAGUUGUUGCGGGAUUAUAUUACAGGGCGGAGAGGGAUUAAAUCAAAUAUGAAAAUUCUUAAACAUAAAUUUUUUACUUUAUUUUUUGAGUUAAUUUGCUGAAUAUACUAAAAAGGGGUGAGAUACCAUAGAAUGGGGGAAAAAUGGUAAUGAUAGGAGAAAGAAAAUUGAAGGGAUAUAGUGUGUGGAGUGCAAAUAUGAGAUAUUUGUUGUGUAGGGAAUACAAAUUCUCUUAUUUUUUCGAUAAACCCUAUCGGCUGAUUCAAUCGAUUUUGAAAGGAACGCACUUAAAACUAGUGAUUACAAUGGCUCAUCAAUAAAAAUUACAUCCACCAACAGUUUCAAUGUUUCAUUUAAGAAGUUGUAACUAUCCAUCAAACACUUGCAAUGAUUCACUUAAACAGUUACAAAAAUUCACUUAAAUUGCUAACAAUUCUCUCUCUAAUUUACGUGUACUAAUGAUUCACUAAAUAUUGAAAGCACUGUGGUCUAGUGGUAAAGGUUUAAAGGCUUAUACACCCCGGUCUGGGGUUCAAACCUCAGAUAACGUAAUUUCUACAGGAAGAGGUUUGGGCUUCAAUUCCCGGAGAAGGCGAAUUAUACAAAAAAUUAGAGAAAAAAUGCUUACAAGAGAUCUUCAGCAUGGCGCAAGGAGUACCGUCAGGAAUGGAUCUCAUAGAGCUAUUCAGAGUGAUGCAGUGAAGCGUGAAUCUUCAUAAAACAGGUAGAAUUGUCGGUUGUAAUAUCAUCUAUGUAAUGGUUCUCAUAAUUUGUAAUAGCAUAAUUAACCAGACAAAAAAAAAUGAUUCACUAAAAAAAUAGCACAUACAACAAACUGAUGCAUAAAAAUGUUUUAACCAUACAAUUAUUAACAUGAAAACACAUGAAAAAAUAUGUUGUUAGGAUGAUAAGACACAUUUUUAGUUAUGAAAUUCAUGAGAAGACACGUUCCUGGAUGAUAAUAUUUAUACAUAAAACAUUUACUAACUGCUUGAAUACCAAAACAAGUUUUAUAAUAAAUGUACACAUGUUAGACAGUGCAUAACUCCUAAAACCCUACACAAUUAAUUGGACAACUAGAUUUUGACCCGCGCUUCAAAAACGCAGAUUAUUUUGGAUUGUAUACAAAAUUUGUGAAUUAAUAUUUUGAAAUUGUUUUAUAUUAUUAUGUUACAAAAUCAUAUGAUAUCGAAUAAGAUAAUUUGUUUACCUUAUAUAAUUCAUGAAUUUGUUUAUUUAAAAUUUGUAUGUACACUUACAAACUCUCCCUUGGACAUGAAUAUUUUACCAAAUUCGGAAAACCAAAUUGAAAUAGACCUGGAAAUAUAGGUGCAGUUUGGGUCCAGGUUUACAUAUUAAAUUUUUGGAUCCGCAUGUCUCUUUUCGAGUCCAAAUCAUACCCUUUACCUGAUCGGAUACCCAAGUGCCUAAAAUGUUUUGUGUAUAUUAGGUAUAUUUGAGUAUUUUAUAUAUGUUUUAGUAUUACAAAUAUUGUUUAAGUUUUGUGUUCAGGUUUUCGAUUUUAGUUUCGGGAUUUGGGUAAAAAUUUCAAUUUAUUUUAAAAAAUAUUUUGGGUAUUCGGAAAAUUAGCUUUUUUAAUUUCUCGGAUCAUAACGGAUCGGUUCAUUUUGGAUCUUUUUGGAUAUUUCAAUAUUUUCGAGUAUUUGUUUGGGGGGAAGGGGGGGGGGGGUUUGGCAAUUUCAAAUCUUUUUGGUGUCCUAAAUAAUCAAACCAAUCCAAAUCUGAUACGUACCCAAAUAGUACAUUGAUUUUAUAGAUAUUUGAAUUAUGGAUUCAAACCGACCCGGAUCCAAAAGGAACCAACCCAAGCUUGAACCAAAAAAAUACUUAGUUAUGUUCAAAAUGUCUGAACCCAAAAUAAAAUGAUCCGUACCUACCCCAAAACCCGAUGCUCAGACCUAUUCUCUUUCACUAACUUUUGUGUGUAUUUUAAAAUGUUAUAUUUGCUGAAUUGAUGAGACUUAAGAGUUAUUUGACAUAUUUUUGGCUAAGUUAAUAGUAUAAAUUUGUAAGGUUUUUAAUAGUUUUAAACUUAUUUUAAAUAACAAAUUUUAUUAUAAAUGAUUUUUAUAAAAAGUUAAUUUAAAGUAAAAGAAAAUAUAAUUUUGUUUUUAACAGAUGGUUUGAUUUAUUAAAUUUAAUUUUGCAAAAAUUUGGAACUAUGUGAUGCGUUACAGAUAUUGUUCUACUAUACUAAUAAUAUAUUAAGUUGAUCUACCACUAAACUUGAUAUAAGUUUGGGUGUGGCAUAUGUCCGUUGCAUGUCAUAGAUAUUAUUCUACUAUACUAAAUAGUAUGUUAUAUAAAAUAAAUGUUAUAUGUCAUGAAGAAGGUGAUUAAUUAGUUGUAGUUGUUAUAUAUAUUGUAGUUGAACAUGUCAUUAUCAUAUUAUUUCACACGUACAAAUAUAUAGUGUAACCGUAGAUUUAGUUAUUAAAGAUAGAGAUAAGAGUCCAAUAUAUAAGGGAUGAAAAAUAAAGUUGUAAUAUAUUGUAACAGAUAAAAUAUGGAGAAUAAUAAAAUUUUAUUUGAUUGCUAUAAGAUAGGUUAUAGUUAUAAGAUUUGGUUAUAUAUAAUAGGUUGAACUAAAAAAUGAAAGGGUCCAAACAACUUUUUAAGUAGAUUUAUUAAAACUCUUUCUCUUUUAAUAGUAUUGAUUAUGGGAUUAUAUAUAUAUAGACAUUUAAAAACUUCUAAGAGCCUAUUCUUUUAAAGAUGAAAAGACACAUAAUAAAAGAGAUAUUCUAAAAAAUUAAAUAAACCUCUUGCAAUAUUAUAAUUUUUAUAAUGAAAAAACACAUUUUAAAUAAUUUCAACACUCUCAUAAAAAAUAGGAACGAAUCUAGAGAUAAACUAUAUUGACUACAUUAAGAAUUUUCUAUAAUUAUAUAUUAAUUCAUGUGAUUUAUCUUAGAAAAAGUGUUCUCUACAUAAAUCACUAUUGCUUAAGAACUAUUAAAUUUUAAGAUAAAAAGAUACAUCAUUAUAAAAUAUACAUUUUAACAUUUUCUUGUUAACAAAUGCAAUUAUUAGAAUAAAACACACAUGCUUAUACAUUUAAAAAUCAUUUUAAAAAUUUAAUAUAAUUAUUAAAAUAUAAAACACGUUGUGAAGAUGAAAGUGUGCAUACUUAUAUAUUUUGCUAACUUUUAAAAAAUAAAUGCAACUUUUAAGAUGAAAAACACAUAGCCUUGUUCUUUUAGAAGACGUGUUGCGUCUUACAGCUUAAUUAUAACUGCUUUCUCGUCAGCGUCUGGACAUAAACACCGGUAGCUGUUUUUUGCCUAUCAAAAAUAGUUGCAGCGUCAACAUAAAUACCGCCACUUUUAACAGCGUCGUUGACGACACCAAAAACUUUCUGCAAAAAUAAUGACAGCGUCAACUUAAUUAAAUUUUCCAUCGUUUUUUGUUUAGUUUUUGAUCGGUGCAGCUGACGCCGCGCGUCUUCAAAAAGUAUAUAAAGAUGAAAACCUUUAACAUUAGAUAAAUAAUAACUUAGUUUCUGUAAAUAAUAGUAUUUAUACCGACGAAUUUACAUAGUCUACACUGCCAUCGCUUUUGAAAACGUUUUAAAUAGUGAAAAAUCUAUUUUUAUGAGUUUCGGAAUUUAGUGAAGAUAAGAUGUCACACAUUAAUAAAUAUAUAUUCGAAUAUAUAACAUUGCAAGUUUUCAAUUUUUAUAAAAUAGUUAUCCGACUAAUCAAGCUCACUAUAAGUUAAUGAAAAUAUUAAAGUAUAUUCAUAUGGAAUUUUCUUAAAUAAUUUUAAUAAUAACGAAGAUAGGAUUCACGUGUUCUUUAUACUAUUUAAAAUUUAAAAUCUUAUCCCACCCAAAAUACAAUAAGGAAACACAAUUUGAUACUUGUAAACUCUAACAUACUGUAAUUCGAUCAAGGAAGUAACGUUUCAUAAUUCAUAUGCAUCAAUAAGCAAAUGUAAGCUAAAUGGUACUUUUGUUUUCUAUGAAACUGUAAAUAAAUAGUUUGGGUUAAACCGAUAAUUAGAGAAGAUGUCAUAUUAAAGGAUUCCGUUUAUCACAUAAUUAAAAGAAAAAAAGCAAUCAAAAGUUUCAACUCAUCGAGUGCGGUCGGUUUAAGCACUUGGAUUGACCGUUAUAAACGCGUCAAAUCUUGCCACGUGAUUGUAUUUUCCAUGGUGACUUGGUGAGACGGACACGUUUUCGUCACCGUGUCUUUUUCUAUCGGAACGAUGAUGUGUCUUUUAACUAACGGUAUCGUACAUAUGGCGGCAGUUUUGAACCUUCAUUUAAAAAAAUCUUUUAUUCUUAGUUAAUGGGCUAUUCAAUCACCAUAUGUAAAAUGCCCUUUUCGUCAACUUUCGGUUUUCCCGCGCUAAAGUGAUGUUACUUAUAUCUAAAUAAAAUCAGGAUGUACACUUAAUGUUUGUUCAUAAUUAUCCAUAUAACGUAAUUGUUAAAAAGUAUAUUAAUUUGUGUCAUCUUAUUUUGAGAUCGUCUCAAAAUAUGUUUUUUCUCCUCCAGUAUAUAGGAAUAAUUAUACUAAGUACUGUAUUAUUUAUUUCGAAAUAGUCUUUAUCUUAUUUAUUUUUCCUGUAACUUGGAAUCUUUACUCAUCUUAAAAUAGGUAGAUAUUCAACGGCAUGCAUUGAUUGGACAAGUUGAAUGCAAAUAUAUUUUUAAAAUAGUUAAAACAAGAAGAAGAUAUAUGGAGUGGGACAGAAAGAAAAGGAAGUUUGAUUGGAAGAGAGCUAUUAAAAUGAAAGGAGUGCAUGAAUCAAUGGAAAGUGAGGUAGUGAAUGUCUAUAUCUGUUAUUUUACGAACUUUCUUUAAUCAUAACUUAUUUUGUCAUCUCUCUAUAAGAAAAGUCGAAACAAUGCGGAGGUUAUGUUCGUUUAUAUUUGUUAACAAAGGAAAAAUAACUAUAUGUAUAGUAGUAAUUAAUAAAGGAUCCAGUAGAAACUAAAGUCCUCUGAAACAAAAUUAGCCGAAUCCAAAAAGAGAUCUAUUUGUUUGAUUGAUAUAGUUACAAGCUCUUAUACCACUAAUGUAUUCAAUCAACUAAACAUACUGGCUUUUGUAUGCUUAUAUCAUUUUUAUCAUUUCUUUCGGUAGUUUGUUUUCGAUACUUUUAUGUUUAGUUUUAGUUAGAAUGAAAAACUAUCAUUGAUUCUAUCAUAUUGAAUGCAUAGUCAUUCCUAAAUAUAGACUAAUGAAAGUUAUGAAACAUUAGCCUAUGGCUCCUAAAUUUUAAUAUCAGCUGUGAUUUGGAUGGGGUGUCCAUCUCUGGUCCAGAAGGGGUUCUCCAUAAAAAAAAGUGUUAAAAUACAAUCUUAUAUUUGAGAAAAAAAUGAUAUUAUCACAUGCCUUAUUUCUUAUAUAAAAGAUAAGUAAUAAACGAGUCUAACACAUGAAAUCUGUUGUAUAAAUUAAUUGGUUGUUUAUCUGGAUUUAGAAAUAACAUAACUGUUGUUUGGCAACAAAUUAAAAAAAAAACACAAAACGGAGAUCCACACUCGAAAAUGUUCGAUUCCACUUGACUUUAAGAAUUUGACGUUGGACAAAAAGUUUAUGGAGAUAUAAAAUAUAACAAUUAAGCCAAAAUAUCUAACAAAAGUGAUUUGUAACUCAAAUAGAAACAACACACAUGUCUUUUGAUGUGAAUAAAGUAAUAAACAAUGGUCUAGAUAUUUAUUCGCUUGUUUGAAGCUACGUUUAAAGAUGUAGAUUGUUGGGGGCAUUGAAGAAAAGAAACAAUACAAGUCAGUGAAAUUAGGAGCCAAGCCCACCCACCCCACAAAAGCAGAAAAAAACACCCAAGGAAAAACAGCAUUUUUUUGUUUCGCUGAUAGUAGUCCUGUGACUUUUAACUGGAACCGUUUAUCCGAACCGGAUCCGACCCGAAAUGGACUGGUUCGGGACGGUUUUGGUUUUCAUCAAUUUAUCCGAUGAAUAAUUAUAUAAACUAGAUUAAGAUCCGCGCUUUGCGCGGAAUGAACAUUAUAUAUAUAAAUUAUUUAAUGUAUUAUAUGUUCUAACAUAUUAUAAAAUAAUAAAUAUAUAUUAAAUAAUCAAAAAUCAGUAACUAUUACAUAUAUAAUUAAAUUGAUACGAACAUAUAAAUCAAUUUUAUUAAUCCAAACAAUAUUUUUUUAUUUGAUAGGAUAUAUAAUUAGAUUUAAAUGAAAUUCAUAUUCAUAGUACAUUUUAAUAUUAAUGUCUAUUAAAUAAUGUUUUCUACUCAUAUGGCUUUUUGUCAUUUGUAUCUUUUAUACCAAAAAUUUAAAUUAUUGAUAACAAAAUUUUCACUGAUUCAUAGUCUUAGUAAUUUAUAAUUUUUUAAAAAAUUAAGUUGUCAAUGUGUGUUCAAAGCUUUUAUUAAAAAAAAAUUGUUCAAAGUAAAUUUUGAAAUUUAAAUAUUUAUGUAUUUUAUAUGAUAUAUAAUUUAAUCUAAAAUUAUAUAUAUAUAUAUAUAUAUAUAUAUCUUCUAAUCUUAAUAAUUAAUUAAAUUAAACUUUUUACUUAUAUGAUUUUGUAAUCAUUUGUAUUUUGUCAUAAAAAAAAAUAAAACAUGGAUCACAAAAUUUGAAUGUGAGACUUUUAACAGUUUUAGUAAUUUAUAGUCGUUUUUAAAAAUUCAAAAUAUAACAUAUACAGAAAAAUCUAAUUUUUUAUUAUAUAGUUAAUGUGGUUGUUUAAUUAAUUUUAGUAGUUUAAAAUUAAACAAAUAUGAUAGAAGAUACACUAAUUUUUAUCAAAUCUUUAUUAUUCAAAAUCAUUAAUUGCCAUAUAUACUUUAGCCACAUUAGACAAUUUUGUAACUUUUAUUUAGUGAAAUAAUAAAGAACAUUAAUAAUGAAUUUAUGGUUAGUCUAAUAAAAAACUUAUUAUAUAAAUAGAUGGACCAACAUGUUUUUCUAAUGAUUUUAAGAAUCAUCCUAGUGAUGACAUGUAGUUACAAAUAAAAGUUGUAAUGUUUUUCAAUUAAUAUAUAGGGGAUAACCACGGAUAUCAAGUCAUGUUCGGUUCUGGUUUUUACCCGGAACCGAACGGAUAUUCGUUUUAAAUCGGAUUCUGUGUAAAACACACAGAAUUGAAUCUUGUGGGCGUUGAACCCGGGUUAAAAAGGGACAUAACACUUGCAAUUCCACUGGGAUACACCAACUUUUUGUAAUUCCCACAUAUUACUAUUAUAUAUUUGAUUUCAAUUUAUUUUAUUUUCUAAAUAUAAAAAGAUAAAAAUAGAUAAAAAAUAUUAAAAAAUAUUAUUUCGGGUUCUGAAUUGUAUAUUUGAACCGACCCAGCCGAAAGUCAACCAAGUACUCAUUAGAUACAGUUUCUAAAUAACCGAUUUAUCUGGAACCAAACUGUUUUUAUCCGAAACCGAUCCGAAUAUUCGAAAUUCCAACCCUAGGUGAUAGUAUACUUAAGAAGAAAAUCUACACAUGGUCACAAUAACCGAAUUAUCAUAUUUGAAAAACAAAUAUAUAAUUUAAUUUUCCCUUUCCAACUAAAUAUAACUGUAUAUAUAUAUGAUACAAAACAUCAUGUUAAAAAGGAAUAACUCUUAAACUAUAAGCUUUAUCAACAGUUUUUUUAAGUAAUUUUGUAAUUUGAAAACAAUUAAACCGUAUCAUAAGAAAAAUAGUCUAUAAUUAUUCAGAUAGUCUGAUUAAGUACACCGAACCAUAGAAUACAAAAGAUCAAAAAGGAAAUAAGAAAAAAGUUUACAAAGAUAAGGCUCCUCUAAAUACUAUAUUAGGCCAAACAAAGGAAUAUUACAUACUAACUCUAUAAGUCAGUCACUCUUGGCUAGCUACGAAUAAACUAACGACACCUUAGCUUUUGGAGAAUGUAGCCUGAAGAUCUUAAUUUUGUCACAUCUCUUAUAGUUUGGUUGCUCACGCAUACAAAAAGUUAAAUCAGUUAUACACAUUCUACUUAUAUUUUGAUUGAACGGGUUUUACGAUAAGGCAAUUCCAAUCAAAUUAAAGAGUGUCAACAAGGUUCAAAAUCGAAUUUUGAAAACUGUUUUUUUAAUCUAAGGAACUUUAUUAAAGAAGCAAUAUAUACAAUAAACAACGAAGACCGAAUUAAGCCAUAAAGAGAACAUGGAUCAAUUAUGACCUGCAAUAGAGUCCCGUGUUGAUCAUAAUACCAUUCGAGGCUUGUUCCAAAUCUUUCAUUCCGCACAACUUGAACACGAGACGGGCUUCAGUCACAUAUUUAAACCAGUUUUUUUCCAGUAUAUACAUUAAACGGUUCUUUGAACUUGCAAAAAGACCCGUUCCAAACUAAUUCUGAUUAAAAGACCAGAUUUUCUUACACCUUACAGCGUUUAGAAUAAUUUUUUAAAAAAAAAUAGAAAGGAGUGGAAGUUAUGUAUUAUCUUGAUUAAUGUUAACGCUGCUACUAUUAUAAAUAAUUGUUAUUAGUGACAUCUACAAGUAAUGCACAAAAACCUUGUGGUUCAAAACAUUGCGCUCGUCCCCCAGCAUUAACCGAAAGUAUUAAAUAAAAAGUAAAGUUAGGUAUAAGUGUUGUUUGAGUAAAAUUACAAAAUCAGGAACUAACUAAUAAAUUAUUUCGAUGAUGUUUUGUGACUCUUGAAGUGAACGCGGUUUCGAGUGAGGUACCUAGCUCACCAUGCAUAUCUCUAGAAAAACAACGAUUCGACGGUGGGAAUAUCUUUUAAAAUAGAGAUGAUAUAGUGAUUUAUAGUAACUGACCAACACCGACUUACUAAUAUACUAUUAUUCAUUUUAGCCAUUUCAGACAAAGGAUAUUGAAUGAUAAUAUACUUAGUAGUAGCCUGUAGCCAUUUACUAAUUAUUUGCCGACAUUUAGAUUUUGUUUUUAGAAAGAAAUUGUGACAAUCCCUUCUGUAGUAACUAUUUGUUGGUAACAAUUUAUUUUGGAGGAAUGUUAUUAAAGGGUGAAGUCAUAGGUUCGAGACUCACCAACAACCUAAUUAUGAAGUCAAAGAGAACUCGUAAUGAAGAGUUGAGGUAAGUGCGCUGCAGCGAUGUGAAUCUAGGGCCCACGGGACGGGUUGUCACAGAAAUAAUGAAAGCAAAUUAUUUGUAUUUUUCGUUCUCGUACUUGUGGAGUUGUGGUCGUAUUUACUAAUUUCCGCAACGGUAAAAGUGAGUAAAUUCUCUUUUCUUAAAAGAUGCAGUAAUUUGUGUUUUUGUGUAACAAGGCUUGGAUUCGCAUGUUUUAUUUGUCGACUACCUUAGAGCAUCAUUAACUCAAAAACCCAUUUUAGGUCUUUUAAUUAUUUUUAAGUAUUAAAUGUUACUUAAAAGACCUAGUUAAGAGACACCAAUAUUUCUGUGCUCCAAUGAAAAUAUCUUAUUUGGGGGUUCUUAAAAAAAAUAGAAAAUAUGGAGUGUAACAGAAAUAUUGUUACCUCUAGGCUUGAAUCCAUAAUCAAUCUUUUCUGAGGUUUUUCCAUACGAAGGAGCAGGAACUGGGACGGAGGAGCCAUUGAAAUAAAAACCAUCAUCGAGGUCUUCUCCACUAGGCUGUUUAGCUUCUCACCACGGGCUAGAACGCUAUAAAUAGUUUUAUGCUGUAACAAAGAAAAUAUUCAGAGUUUUGGAGAAACGACAAACAUCUACGAUAUCUGCAAGACUUUCUCGUUUUGAAGUUGCAGAAGAAACGAAGCUCAUUGAUAGAACAUCGUACUAUUUAGGGACAUAAACUUAGGCAAAGAGAGAGUGCACUUACAAGGAUAAUGUUGGUCUCAUCCAACUCCCUCUGGAUUUUCAACAGCUUAUCAGCCUCUACUGGGUCCUGAAGAUCACAAAUACAGGGGAAGAACAGAAGAACUUUAGACCGAAUAUCACUGUACAAAACCUACACAAUAUCAAAUUAAACUAGUUAAAGAAAAAACACUGUAAAGUUGGAUUCUUUGUUAUAUCCAAUCAAUACAGCUAAUUAAUACUGACAAUGUUUUUAAACAAGUUCCACAUGAAAGAAUAGAGUUGCAAACCUGAAAUUUGGUAAGAGCAUUGUCCAAGUAUGGCCAAGGCUGAACAGUCUUCUUUAGCAGACUUCCAUGUCUAACCAAAACUUUUAUGGUACUCAUCUAUAACCUGACAAGUAAUUGAUUUGUCAAAUAUAUUUCCUCAUGUUCUGAUACAACCAAAUUACACAAAGGGGUGAAUUUUGAAGACUUGGUCGAGCACAGAAAAGGCAGUACGAGCAAGGUAAUGAUCGUCCACGAAUCCCACCGCGCAAAGACCUGAUCGAGCAAAGAAAAGGCACUACAAACUAGGUUAUUGCUUUUCCUGAAAAUUGAACCUAAGAACUAUGAAACAGAGCAGAUCAACCGAGCAGAGAAAAAGUACUACGAAAAUUAAACCUAAGAAAUCGCGCUGACUCACGAUUAUGCUCGGAAGCUCUUCUAUUACUCUGCCGCCUUUCCCGCUAUGAUUGGAUGCUCGAAUCUUCUUUCUCUCUGUCUCCGAUUGAGUUGACUCAAGUCAAAUCGGAACCCUAACACACAAAUGGAGGAAGAAGAGAAUGGGGGCGGAAGCAAGCUUGGGAGGAAUUUAUGAAGAGGAGAAUGGAGGAAGCAACCUAUUGUCUCAGCUUUGUUGUUGUUGCAGAGAGAAAAGGAGAAGCUCUAAGAGACGUCUUCUAUUCAGGAGAUAGAAGAACGGUCUUUUUUCUUAAUGGUUAUUUUUUUAAAUUCUAAUGAUGCUAAGAUACUCAGUUAAGAAACUGGGUUAAUGAUGCUCUUAGUACCUUUCGAUAUUUAUUCUUCCAAUAGCGUCAAAUAGUUACUGUAUACAAAUUGUAUAAUGCAUAAUACAAGUGUCCUUAUUUAGUGGAUUUUAGUAAAAUAAACAUAUUGCUGUUUUCCUACUAAUUUGUUGUUAUUCAACUGUUAGUUUUAUUUUCAUACCACGUAUUUUGCUCAUGUGUUAUUGAAUAAACCAAAAUUUAAAAGUUCAAUAUUCCCUUAGUUUUAUUUUAAUUGUUGUUUUAGAUUUAGACACACAUAUUAAUAAAAUAUUUCAUUUUGUAUAUUUACUAAAUAAAAAUAUAAUUACCAAUACAUCUAACCACAUUUCAACCAACAAAAAAAUAUAUUAUAAUAUAAAAUCAAUAAAUUUUGUAUUGAAAUUAUAAAACAACACUUAGUUUUGAAACAAAAUUUUUAUUUUAAAACGAUCUAUUCAACAUAUAAUUCAGUUCAACCCCCCUAAUCAUUAAUGGUCUUAUAAUGGAGCUAUGGUUAAUCAAACAUUAUUUUUACGAAAAAAAUGAUUCUGUUUUAUAAAAUUAUAUUAUAAAAGAUGAUACGAGUCAUAAUAUUCUUGAUAAAUUGACUUGCUAAUGCCUAUCACUAUAAGAGUUUUUCACCUCUAUUAAUUUGUACUGACAUGUUAUUGUAACAAACAAAUUAUGGAACGUCGAGCUUACUGUUUAAGGUUUCCGGAUGGAGUUAUUCUUAGGUCCACCUCCUAUAGUGAACCAGGUUCACCAACCAAUAAAAUUUUAUUAUUUUAAAUUUGAUAUUUUUUAAAAAAGAAAACAAAAUAUUAUCAAAUCAUAUUAUGUUUUUAAAAUAAAAAAAAUAAAAAAAAUAGUAGUUACAGAAAAAAAAUUAAAAAAAUAUUUAUAACGUCGUCAAGAAAACACUAAACCCUAAAUCCUAAACCCUAAUCAUCAAGUCUAAACCCUUGGGUAAACCCUAAACCCUUGGAUAAAUCCUAAACUCUAAAUAAAAAACUAAACACUAAAAACCUAAACCCUAAAUCCUAAACCCUAAAUCCUAAACCCUGAACCCUUGAGUGUUUUAGUGUUUAUUGAUUUUGAUUUAGAGUUUAGGAUUUAUCUAAGGGUUUAGAGUUUACCCAACUGUUUAGAAUUUAGGAUUUAGGGUUUAGAGAUUAUGAUUUAGGGUUUAGUAUUUUGCUGACGAUGUUAAAAAUAUUUUUUUUGUAAUUAGUACUAUUUUUUAACUUUUAAUUUUAAGAAGAUAAUAUAAUUUAAUAAUAUUAUGUUUUACUUUUUAAAAAAUAUUAAUUAUAAAUAACACAAUUUUAUUAGUUGAUGAACUUAGAGGUUCACCCUAAAAGAUGAACCAAAGAAUAAUUCUUCCGGAUAUGCAUAUCGAUAACAAUAGCAAGAUAGCAUCAACUCGAGUUCAUUAUCUUUUAAACAUUUGAACAAACUAAAAGGAAAUUGUUUGACUUGUAUAUCUUUUGGACAUUAAGACUUGUAUAUCUUAUCCGGAGAAGACAAUGACUAAAUUGUUCGAUGCUGUGAAAUUAAAAUGAUUAAAGUUAAAUACUAGUAUCAAUUAGAACUAGUGCUCUCUAUAAGUGCGUUGAACUUUUAGCAACUUUAGCGACUGAUGGAAAUAAUGUCGUUGCCUCGAAUAGCAAAGUUAGUUAAUACUAGUAAGCUAAUUAACUAAUUGAUGUUGAUAAAAUCUUCUUUUGGUAAUUUCAACUAAAAGCCUUUAUUUCCUUUUGACUAAUUUAACCCUGCAAAUGUGGAAGUCUAAUCACAGUUAAUAGUUCAAUACAUAUCGGUAAACAAAACAUAAUGAACCUGUGUACAGUGUGCAUAUACGCACAGCUACUUCAGGUGAUAUUCAGAUUUUUAUUAAUCAAUCUUACUGUUUUAAUAAUAAAAGCUGUAUAUCAACUAAAUACGUAAUUUUUGAUCAAUUAUGAAAGAUACAUUAAUAAUAAUUUAAUCAAUUAUGAAAGAAAUUUCAAACUGGUUUCCCUUUUUAUACAUUAUCUAUAUCAUUUGAGAAUGAUUUCUAAUUUUUAAAUUAAAUGAUUUAUAUUUUUACUCAAGAGUUUUUAAAUGGUGGUGGAGUUGGACUAUCUAAAUGGUUAUCUGGUAAUUAGCUAAAUACUUUGAACUCUUAAAUCUUUUUUUUUUGUUUAUAAAAUGGGGUUAAUGUAUCUCUGUGAUUUCAACGGCACAGACAACUUUCUUUCUAUUUGCAUGCAUGUAACCGAGACAUAAAAUGUCCGGGAUAGUGUGGUUGGGUGGUAAGGGGAAGGGGUUGGGAUACUAACAUAUUUCAAGUUCGAUCUAUCUAUUGCGCAAAACUAAGUCACAUUGUUACACGGAUAUGGGUUUAUGCUUUUGAGCCUAUUUGCAUAUCCGUUGAGAAGAUCUAUCCGUAGACUGCACUUCAAUUUAGAAAUUAGUUUAGACCCUUCCAUAAGUCCAAGAUACCCCAAAUUGAAAAAUGUCAUACCAUAAAUAUUUUCCAAAGAAAAAGACACGCGCACGAUAGCUAAGACACCUAAAGAUUAAUUUGAACCUUCCCAUAGAUCCAAGAUACCUCAAGUUGAAAAAUGUUAUAACAUAUAUUUUCCAAAGAAAAACACAUGUGCACGAUAGCCAGGGCCGUGCCUGAAUAAAAGCUGAUAAAGCAUAUGCUUGAGGGCCGGUGAAGAUAUUUAUUUUAAAGGGCCAAUAUUUUCAGAAAUCUUAUGUAGCUUAACUGGUUGUGUCAUUGGCUUGGGUGUAUACGUACCUAGGUUCGAUGCCUCACAGCUUCUUUUUCUUUGAAUUUUAACAGAUUAUUUAGAAAAAAUGGGCCAAAAAAACAUUUCUGCUUCAAGACCAAUAUAUCUCAGGCACGGCCCCGACGAUAGCUAAGACAGUGUUUGGAAUAGGACCCGAUAUUGUGGCCUUUUCUCUUCAACUCUUAGUAAUAAAAGACACUUGAUUUGUCACCUGCCAAACAUGUCUUCAAGUCUUUUCCCCGUGCUCCUCUCUCCAAGUUGGUUUUGGUCAAACUUCCAUUAUUGUCAUACCAACAUAUUUUGGCUCCAAUUAUUUCCAUUUGCAUAUAAACAUGUCAAAGAUUUAGAAAUUUUAUCCAUUUAAUAAUAAAAAUAAAAAAAUGAAACUGUAGACAUGGUAACCGAAUUUUAUUAGAUAUUAAGGUUCUUUUGAUUGAUAGCAUUACAAGGUGUUUUUAUCCACCAUGUGUAGCAAAAAAUAACUAAAACUAAAAUUAUAUUUUAAAUUAAAAUUUUGUUAAUAUUUUAGAUUUUAUUAUCUUAUACUAAUAUUUAAAUACAAAAAUUGAUUCAGUUAAACAUAAAAUUAAGAUAAAAUAAAUAAUUUGAUUUACUUUAAAUUAUAUUUAAUUUUAGAUAUGUAUAUAUUUAAAAUUAUAAUCUUAGAUAGAUUUUCAUUUACUUCUUUUGGUUAAAAUAUAUUAAAUCAACUUGUUGAAAAUAAAAAAAAUGAUAAAAUUGUAUAAAUAUCAAAAAUAAAACUAAACAGGAUUUAUAAAAUUUGUAUAUAGGAAAAAGAAACAAAUGGUAUUACCAUUAAAACUAUAAUUUUUUAAGAAGAUUGUAUAAAAUUUUAAAAACCUUGUUUAGUAAUAAAAAUGUAAGAUUAUAAAAAUAGACUUAAAUAAUAUUUUGAAAUUUGUAUGAUAUUAUAUAUUUGUAUUAUUUAAUGUAAUAUUUGAAUACAUUUAUUUUAAUGAUGAUGUAUGAGUUAUUACUAUAUUAUAAUUUUUAUCAAAGAUAGAAAUCAACUUUACAUUUAGCCAUAAAGCAUGUAAUAAUAUGGCAUGUCAUAUUUUUUAGUGAAAAGGAUUGUAAAUAAAACAUGUAUUAAACCAUUUUGCAAAUAAUGUUUAUGGGAUUGUUCACAUGCGUGUUAAAUCAUUGUUAAAAUCAGAUUGGUUCAAUAUACACCGCUAUACCUGAUUCGCAAAUUAUUAUUAAAAAAAGCAGGAUCACCUAAUUUACGUCCAGGCUUUGUAUAUUGGUUUCAAUAGGCCUAAAGUAAAAAUAGAAUUUACCACAAGAAAGUAGUAAAAAUAGAAUCGUAAAAGUGGUACACAACUACACACCAAAAACAUAGCUCAAUUAUAGGCAGGAUUGUUAUAUCGGAUAUAAUUGGACCACACAAUUAUUAAUGUGACAUGUGACGUGAACGAAUCGACCUUUGACUCACCAAAAAAUAGUAACCAUGUAACCAGGUAGGACCAUCAUUAACUCAAGUCUUUUAAUUAGGGUUUUUAGCUUUGGAUAAGAGACAGUUCUUAGCUUUUUUUAGAUUUUAACUAAAAAAAGUUAAGAACCGUAUCUUAAAUAAAAGAUAUAAAAACCGUUUAUUAGCUGAAAAGUGUAAAAAAAAAGUGUCAAAUCAUAAGUUAAGAACCCCAACUAAAAAAUCAGAGUUAAUCAUGUCCUAAGAGCAUGAUUAAUGGAGAGUUUUUAGGAUGAGAUUCUUAGGAGAUAUAAAAAUCAUCUCUUAAUUUUUAAUUAAAAAAACUAAGAACCGGUUUUUAAAUAAGAGUUUUUUUAGUUAAAAGCCGGUUCUUAGCUUUUUUAGUUAAAAAUUAAGAGACAGUUUCUUACAUUCCGCUAAGAAACUCUCUAAUCGAUUAGAGUUCUGACAAUAUUCCAUUUGAUUCGAAGGAAGUUAAGAUUUGUUUAUUUUAUUAAUAAUUCUUUUGAUCAUUGUAUAUCAAUUUUAAUGUUACAUUCUUGUUUGUUAUCAGUAUUCAGAUUGUUCCGUUCGAGUAUUGUAUUAUUAAUCCAAACUCAUCACAUGUUGCUUUCGAUUGUGUCAAAAUGUAGAGCAUAUAAUGUUCCUCUUCUUCUUACUUCUUAGUAUCUUGACGUGAACUGAAUCAACUCACAUUUCUUGUAGAGAAAAUGGUUUUCCUAUGGUAAAAUAUUGAUGAUAAAACCAAUUUGUGGAUAAAACAUCAAAUAAUCGUUAAAAUCGCAACCUAUAUAAAUCAAAUAAAAGGGAAAAAAAUAGAUACUUAUGAAUCAUGGUUAAGAACAUGCGUACCAUCAUAAGUAUUAAAAAGCUACAAUUAACCAAGUUGGCAGAACAAGGAUUAACAUGAUAAUAUGUAUUGUUUAGUUAUAAGAAAAUCUUACUUCAUAAUAUACGAUUACAUGAGGUCGUCCGUUAAAUGCAACAUCUUCGCUAUCUUUUCCGAAAUCAUGUUAUGCAUACUAAAUACGAAUCGUGUGUACACACUAAAUAAAUAUUUAAGAGAUAAGACACUCGAAUGGGAAAUGAGGUGUCGAUAAAACUGACGUGGAGAUAACUUUUUUUUUUUUUUGAUAAAGCGUGGAGAUAACUUAUGAUAUAAUUUUGUAUGCUUUCCAUAAACUAAAAAAAAAUUAUUAAGAUCACGAGCAUCUAUUAUUAGUAUAAUUCAUAAGGAUGAUCGAAUCAACCGUUAAUCUUAUAUUAUAAGUUGUAAUUCCAUUUUUUUCCUCCACUUUUCAACGGCUUUAAUUGUGUCAUCGAUGACUCUAAUCAAAGGAGACAAAAUAUCCCACUUAGACUUAUUUGUUAUCUGGGCUUUAUAAUAUGUAGUUUUAAAGCACUAUUUCUUUCUUGCGACAUUACACUGUAGGAUUUGGUAGAUAAGCAUAUGUACUUCGUAAUGUGCAACUUUUACAUUUAUAUGAUUAGGUGCGAUCACAUAAUACGGGUACGUACAAAUUAUAAUUAAUUAGCAUGAUGAUUUCAUAAAUCCUCAUAUGAUGUUAUAACAUAGGGUCUCAUAGACUAUAUAAAUGACAUGUUAUAUAUAUUUCCGUUUACAUCAAAACCAGAUCUAAUUCUGGCAUUAGUGAUUAUUGAAUUAUAUAUUCAACACACAAGUACACUGCCUCUGCAUGAAACUCAGCUAAUAACUUUAAUCGUUUAAAAGUUCAUCACUCAUUUAACCUUAAACUAUAUCCAUCCUCAAUUUUGAAAGUCGUACUUUUGGCCGCUACAAAACUUUAUACAUGCAUGUUUAAUUCUUUCUUCUUACAUGAUCACUACAUCUAUUGGAGAGAAAAUCACACAUCGGAAAUAUAAAAGGGACUUGAGUAAUAUAUAAAGAACUUGAGCCAAUCCACUAAUUGCCAAUUGGUUUUAAGUUGGAAGUCCAAAAAACUUAUUAUGGUAUCAGAGCGGACCCAAUAUCUUGAUCCAUUAAUCCGGCCCGAACAGUGACCCGAUCAUCCCGUUAGCUGAUUGCCCAUAGAAAGCUCAGUUCCGUCGAGAUCGCUAGAAAAUAAAGCAUGAUUUCGGAGAGGGUAUGAUGGAUUCUGCGAAAUUAAUGGUUAUACGCACCAUUAUCUCGAGGGAUGGUAUUGGAGUGAAGAUCCCACAUCAAAAAUAUGAAAGAAACUUGAGUAAUAUAUAAGAGAUUUGGACCAAUCCACUAAUAACCAAUUGGUUUUAAGUUGGAAACCCAAGAAAUUUAUCAACAUCCAUACAGAUAAAAAUUUACAUGCAUGUUCCAAUUACUUUUCAAACUCAUGCUAUGCUUCAAUAGCAUCAAUUUUGGUUGAUAGAAACAAAUUAAAGAGACGGCCGGCAUCGUUUUGACCUUUUUAACAUAAUAGAGAAUGUGGUAAUAAUACAGUGAACAAGGGAAGGUGAGUGGAGAAGACACUUCACCAGUACUGCACUUCACACUUCCUUUUGGAAACAAAAGGAAAAUGUAUUUAAGCAAAGUUGAAUGCAAAGAAUAUCUGGAAUAUCAUACGUGAUGCACCGUCUAGAGUUGAUUGGUAUAAGGGGCCGGUCUGGUCGACAAUGCGAUUUUGCGAUGCAAUAUCAGAUUUGUAAAUGUUCGAGUCUAGUCGAUUACAAAGACUAAACGUUAGAAAGUCUUGAAAAUAUUUAUGAUGCGUAAAAAUUUGCUUUUAGAUAACAUAAAAUAGACUUUCAAAGUUUAUAAUGCGUAGCAAAAAUGUUUUUUGAGAACAUAAGAUCGUGUGAAGUCUAAAUGGAGUUUUCUCAAAACCUAGUUGCCAAAGAACAUAGUUAUAUAUGAGUGGUUUCCAUAAAAGAAUAGAUAACUGAAGAUGAAUGAAAAGUGUAUACCUAACUUUGACGACGGUUUAAGAUAAUAACUAACUACUCAAAGAUAAUAACUAACUACCCAAAAAUAAAUAAAGUACUGAUGUUUCUGUAAGAUUUAUGUUGACAUUGUGUUAAUUAGAAGUAUUAUUGAGGUGGAAUAUGUAAUAAUAUAUACAAGAGAUAUGCUAAAAAUGAUUCUUCUUAAAAUUUAUUACAAUUGUGUAUAAGAUACAAAUUAAAAAUUACAGAUAUAAAAUAUUAAAUGAUACUUGAAUAAUAUAAAAUCAUAAAUCAAAGGAAAAGAAAUAGUACGAAGUAGUAAUAAAAAUGAACUAAUGCAUUAAUUACUAAUUAACUCUAAAAUAAUUUCUGAAAAAAACACUAAAAAUUUUAAAUGGAAGAAACUAUAUAUUUAUUUUUGAGUUAUAUAUUACGUGUGUAUAAGAAGAAAAUUAUAGUACUUAAGAUGAUCCACAUAAUCUUAAUAAAUGUUGGAUUGGACUGUAAAUUCAGUUUAAAAUGGAGUUUGAUAUAUACAUUAAAGUACAGCUUUGUGUAACAGUUCUAUUAGGUUUUUGAAGAAAAACGUUUGUUGAAAAAAUCAAAAAGAAAAAGAAGAAAUGAUAAAUGAAUUUUUUUUCAAAAACAAAAAGAUAAAUGAAGGAGAUAAAAAGAGAAACAAAUAAAGCAAGCGUGACGGAGAGAAGAAUUGAACAAAGCGAAGAGCACCACGUGUUUUAUGAGAAAACUUUGUUAUGAGACGUGUCCUCUUCACUAAUGACGUACCAAAACAAUUUGAUUUCACUUCUCUAACCAAAACAACAAAAAGGAAAGUUAGACAACAUAAUGGUCCAAUAGGAAUAGAAGAUUAGCGAGACAAUACAGACCCAAAUGUCCUUUUAUUCAUAUUUUACGUGUUAUUUUCUGCUUAUUUUAAGACUUUAUUUUUCCUUUUCAAAAUGUCCAAAUACACUCAAUUUUAUAAUGCAAAGUUUUGUUGUUACACGAGUCCAUAUAUCAUGAUUAUACAAAGCUGGUUUGGUGAGGGGGGGAUUAUGCUUCUUUUCUAUUAAACUAUUUAGUGGAGUUUCUAGAAAAUGUAUACGUGAAGUAUGCUUUUCCGUUAAAUAUAUAAUCUGCGAAGUUUGUUUGGCUAAUUUAUAUAUUCAAUGAUUUAUAUGUGGUCACAUAUAAUACCCACAAAUUCAAGACUUCUAAUUCUAGUAUAGUCUCAUAUUAAUUUAGUAUGACUCGAAUCAUUAAUAUAAUAGAGUUAAACAAGUAAGUCCAUGUUCAUACUCGAGGUCUUAGGCUAUUGUUAUUUAUACAAACAAAUACAUAUAUUGUGCUUGUGACUUUUUAAGGCACUAUCCACGUAUAUCACAAUUUCAAUCUAUAAAUGAUGACAUAAAUAACAUAUUUAAACAAUAAAAAUAAAAAUACAACAUAUAGAGAAGACAAAACAACAUAAUACAAUACAACCAUUUUUAACUGUGUUUUUCUUAAACAAAUAACUCGGUUACUGUAUGCUGCCAACAAAUAUUUGGGCACAUUUUUAUCAACAUAAUUGGAAGAAGUUGAUGACAAAAGAACAAGACAUAAAUGUAAAGAAACUCUGUUUGCGUGUUGACCGAGUAGAAAAAGGAGUGGUCGAACAUCUAAUAUAGAUCUCGUCAACUAAAGUGCAAGUGAAAAAAUAACACUAUGACUUCAGACAAUUCAAAUUUAAUAUCUUAGAGACCAAGUCAUAUGAUGUAACACAUCUACUUUUAAUAAAUUGCGUGCGUAAAGUAUUAGUGUUCAAAUAACUAUUUUGUUCAUUUCUGUAAGUUGUGAUUUUUAGGUAACUGGUUUAAAGGGUAAUUAGACGAUUGAAUGAACUACUAAAGUAGUGGUCCUAGUGGACGAUGUUGUUGUUGUCUUCGGAGUAAAUAUAGAACGACGACACGCAAGGAAUUGUCAUGUGUGUUGUGUUUGCUAAUUUUAUUUUCGGUUUUCAGAAGUUUCAAACUUUUCAAGCUACAAAAUGAUAUCGGAGGUUGAAUUUAAAUGAGAUCAUGUAAUGUUUCUUUGCUUAUGACCCUACAAUUAAGAGCGGUCGGAGAAUUAGAUUAUAUAACGUGGAUCAAUGGUAUGGACACAAACACUUGAGCGAAGCCAAAUAAUACUCAGAUACUUGUAUUACUCGUCUUAAUUUUAACACCAGUAGAACGUAUCAUACAUAGGAUCAUAGGAGUAUAAUGCAGUUCAAAGAUAUUUCCAUGUGGAGAUGAAUAGGCCAAGUUGGAGUCUCAAACAAACAAACAAGAACCUAUUGAAUCAAGUUGGUGAUUGUAAUUAAUUGAAACAUCGUUUUGCCAAUAAAUGCAUAUAAAUAUUUUGUUAGUUAUAUAAACAUUUCCCUUUUAUUUAUUGAUUUCUGACGACGAAUUUAAGACUUACUUUAGAAUUUGUUUGCACCACUGCACACCAAUCUUUGGUGAGUAAACUUAUGCCUUACAAUGCUUCGAACAAGCAAUCUCACAGGUUUCUCUUUCACAGCCGACGUAUCUUCAAGUUGCCACGGUCAGGUAGCUUUUAUUAACAGGCAUAGAAACCGAAGAAGCCACAGACAAAGGGAGUUAGAGAGUGAAGUGUGAAAGGACUCAACUUUGAACAUUAACACAUUGCCCUGUUUCUGUGUUUGUUCACUUUUUCUCUUACACACACUCUCACUCCAUUCCUUCUCUCUCUGUCAAUAAUUCAACACGUGGCCACUCAUCUGGGACCCACCAUUCACCUCCCGGUUUAUAUAAACCCUGAACACUUCAUCCCUCUCAAACCAUCUCUCUCUUCUCUCUUCUCUCUUCUCCACUUCAACAAGAAAAGCAAAAAAAAAACAUCAAACUUCACUUGAAAGCACCAAUACUGACUAAUCAUAUUUAAAAUGACUUCUUUCACGGCGACUACGGCGGUUUCUCGGAGAUUGGUCGGUGGUAAUCAUACUAAACCACCAUUAUCGUCUUCUCAAAGCUCCGCCUUGAGUUAUUCUUGCUCCGUACCCAUGACAAAUCGUUCCCAACGAAAGCUCAAUGUUUCUUCUGCGCUUCACACUCAUCCUGCUCUCCAUUUCCCCAAGCAAUCCUCCACCUCUCCCGCCAUUAUUGUCAACCCAAAAACCAAAGAAUCUGACACCAAACAGAUGAACUUGUUCCAGAGAGCGGCGGCGGCGGCGCUGGACGCGGCGGAGGGUUUCCUCGUGAGCCACGAGCGACAGCAUCCCCUCCCCAAAACCGCCGAUCCUAGCGUUCAAAUCGCCGGAAACUUCGCUCCGGUGAACGAACAGCCUCUCCGGCGUAACCUCCCGGUGGUCGGAAAAAUACCGGAUUCCAUCAAAGGAGUGUACGUGCGCAACGGAGCCAACCCGCUUCACGAGCCGGUGACAGGUCACCACUUCUUCGACGGAGACGGGAUGGUUCACGCCGUGAAAUUCGAAGACGGUUCAGCUAGCUACGCUUGCCGGUUUACUCAGACCAACCGGUUUAUCCAGGAACGUCAACUGGGUCGACCGGUUUUCCCCAAGGCCAUCGGCGAGCUUCACGGCCACACCGGUAUUGCUCGACUCAUGCUAUUCUACGCCAGAGCCGCAGCCGGUUUAGUCGACCCGGCUCACGGAACCGGAGUAGCUAACGCCGGUUUAGUCUAUUUCAAUAACCGGUUAUUAGCCAUGUCGGAAGACGAUUUGCCAUACCAAGUCCGGAUCACUCCAGGUGGAGACUUGAAAACCGUUGGCCGUUACGAUUUCGACGGGCAGUUAGAAUCCACAAUGAUCGCCCACCCGAAAGUCGACCCGGAAUCCGGCGAGCUAUUCGCUCUAAGCUACGACGUCGUUUCAAAGCCUUACUUAAAAUACUUCCGCUUCUCACCGGACGGAGAAAAAUCGCCGGACGUCGAGAUCCAGCUCGAUCAGCCGACGAUGAUGCACGACUUCGCGAUAACAGAGAACUUCGUCGUUAUACCGGACCAGCAAGUCGUCUUCAAGCUCCAGGAGAUGAUCCGCGGCGGCUCUCCGGUGAUCUACGACAAGGAGAAGGUCGCGAGAUUCGGAAUUUUAGACAAAUACGCGGCGGACUCGUCGGGAAUCAGGUGGAUCGAAGCUCCGGACUGCUUCUGCUUCCACCUCUGGAACGCGUGGGAGGAGCCGGAAACAGAGGAGGUCGUCGUGAUCGGGUCGUGCAUGACUCCGCCGGACUCAAUUUUCAACGAGUCCGACGAGAAUCUCAAGAGCGUCCUCUGCGAGAUUCGGCUCAACCUCAGAACCGGAGAGUCCACUCGCCGUCCGAUCAUCUCCGACGGAGAUCAACAAGUCAACCUCGAAGCAGGGAUGGUGAACCGGAACAUGCUCGGCCGUAAGACAAAGUUCGCUUACCUCGCUUUAGCCGAGCCGUGGCCUAAAGUCUCCGGUUUUGCGAAAGUCGAUCUCGCCACCGGAGAAGUCAAGAAGCAUCUCUACGGCGAUGACCGUUACGGUGGAGAGCCUCUGUUUCUCCCCGGAGAGGGAGCAGAAGACGAUGGGCACAUCCUCUGUUUUGUUCACGACGAGAUGACGUGGACGUCAGAGUUACAGAUAGUUAACGCCGUUAGCUUGGAGGUUGAAGCGACGGUUAAACUUCCGUCAAGGGUUCCGUACGGGUUUCACGGCACAUUUAUUGGAGCCAGUGACUUGGCGAAUCAGGUGUAAAUAUACACAAGAAUAUACACAUAGUACGUGAGAUGGUUAAGAAGCUUCUAGAAGAUUAAGAGAGAGGGAUUUACCAGUGGGAUGCUUUGCAUAUACGUCCCCGGAAUCUUCUCCUCUUGUGUGUUUUUUUUUGGUUUUGCUCUGUUUUUUUUUUUACUUUUGGGGUGCGGUUUCUAGUUCCCUUUUUUAUGGGGGUCAAUCUAGAAAUCUGAAAGAUUUUGAGUGACCAGUUUGUAGCUUUUGGGCUGUAGGGUUAGCCUAGCCGUUCGAGCUCAGCUGGUUUCUGUUAUUCUUUCACUUGUUGUUGUUCAUAGUGAGAAGUGUAUAUUUAUUAAACACAAAACUUUGUUUAUAUGUGUACUGUUUCUAGCAAAGAUUAAGCAGCAUUGUAGUCGAUUUUAAAUACCAUUUUGCCUAUGUUUUAUUUGCAUCCUUUUUACUCAGGGAAACGUUUCUGGUUUGUGUCAUCAUCAAGUGAUUUUGUCAUUGGUAAAAAUAUAUUUUCAAUGAUUAUAUUUCUGAAAAAUGAACGAAUGAGAGAGAGACAAGACUCAAGUAACUUUUGUACGUCAAAACAAAAUUUAAUGACCAAAUCACACGCCGUAUAGGUUCAGGUAGUCAAUUUUUGGUAUUUGCAUGGAAGAGAAUCUCCAAUUCAGUCAAUUUUUUCGAAAUAGAAACCAACGAGUGAAGUUAACCCACGUCAAAAAGAGUCAGUAUGUAACUUGAAUAUGACUUGUUUUUUUUGGGGGCGAACGAUUAUGACUUCUUGUUAUUUACCUAAGUGAAGAUUAAUUAAAGUGCAUUUAGUAACCGGUCGUUGUCAUAAACCUAUAUUAAAGAACGUAAUGUUAUGUUGGUAAGCAGAACCGUAAACAUUGGAUGUGUUAAUGUGAGUGCCUGAGUGGUGGGUGGUAACACGGUGGAGAGACCAAUCAAAACUAGUGGAAUUGUGACGAAAUUAACGGCAUUUUUAUAUUUUAGGUAAUAACGCAUGUGUUACUUUUUCUUAGAUAUAUUUAAAAUGUAAUAUUGGUGAUCUAUGAUUGUUUAGAAAAAAAUAAAUUCAUAACCAAAGAAAGCAGAGUCAACUGUCGAAACAGUGUUUCGGUGUGUUGAGAUUAAGACAUUGCCAAAGUAAUUGGUAGGCAAUGAUUUAACAACUUUUGUUUGGGAAGAUUAACCUUAAGUAGGUUGCUUGCACAUAUUUAUUUAUUUUUAUGUGUUUUACGUACACGUUAAUCAUUAUAUUUAAUUUUUUUGGAUAUUGGCGAAAAUAUUAAACGGUUAUGCUUAUCGAAGCACAACAUUCAAAUAUAACAGCCCUUAGAUUGUUAUUCUAGGUUUGUAUUAUCCUUUUUUUUUGUUUAAUAGCUAUAGGUUUAUAUCGUAAAAUAAUGGUUGAAACUUGAAAGUGUUAAAAUUUAGAAAUUUCGUGGUUAAAUACCAAAUAAUUAGCUUGUUGUAUGUAUUUGGGUAUAUGUGUUUAACAUACAGUAUAGGAUAAGGGAAAUCGCAAAGUGAAAAUGGUGUGUGAAAGAAUCACAAACUGAACAUUCUAUUAGUUAAUGCUAUAGGGAUCAAAAGCACAUAAGUUUGCUUUCACUUUCACAUUUACACGAAAAUAUCUCAAACACCAAAAAGUAUCAAGGCAUAGAUCAUACAUGAUAUUGGAAAAUGUUAAAAAUAAUUAUUAAUAUGUGGCCAACUUUGAGAUAUCUUCACAUGGUGUUUUUUUAAUGUGUUUGCUUGUUCACGUUCUCUUCCAAAAUUAUAGAAACCCACUAAUAAUGUUCUUGUUGGAAUCAAAUUAUAGUAUACAUUUACACACACACAUAUAUAUAUGUGUGUAUAUAAUCAGUGUAGCUUUGUAAUUUUAAAGUAUAUAUAUAUAUAUAUAUAUAUGUAUAUAAUUAGUGUAGCUUUGUAAUUUUUUUAAACUAUUGUGCAUAAAAAUAAAAUAAGCUUAAUACGAUUUUUUCCAAACAAAUUUAGGUCAAAAAGUUCGCUGGAUGCAAAAACGUAUUCAGGAGAACUUCACUGGAUACGACGAAAUGUUACGGUGGGUUCCAGUGGAUACUUAAACCGUUCACUUCUGCCGUCCACGUAUCAAUACUUUUUAAUGUUUAUAAUAACCAAAAAACUAUAUGCAAUGGGAUAUAUUGAAGCCAACGAGCAGAUGUUCACUAUUUACCCAAAGUAGAAGGUGACUUUUCUCCCAACCAAUUCCAGCCUAACCACUUUCCUUUAGUGGAAGGUUGGCACCUACGUUUAAUAUAUUGGCAGUAAUACUUACUCCUACCUUAUUUGGACCGCGAAAUCCGGCAUUGUGAUUCGCAGAAACUAUAUGUUAACAUGUGCUAUUUUUUGUUGUCUUAUACAUAAUUUUUUAUAACAAAAAAAAACAAACAAAUAAAUAAUUCUGUGAAUUUUAUCAACAAAAGGCUCUUGGCGAAUACAGAAAGUGUCAUGCAUGUGGUGGUAUUGUCAGGUUCCACAUAUAACAUAUGUGUGCAUUAAAGUUAUUCCCAUAAGGGUAUAGUUUGGGGACAUAUAGGUCGAUAAUCAGCAGACUCUGUAUCCACCCUAGCAUGGCGAAGGCGGACCUUUCCAUAAUGAUGGUCCAAUGAAAAUGGUAUUGCAACUCUUGUUUAUUCGAAGGUAAAAAAAAAUUAGCUAGACAAUUAAAUGUAGAAAUAUUUCAUGGAAACAAAUUAUGAUUGAAAUCCAAAAUGGAAAGAGUACGGUAUACCCAAACUUGUAUGGUUGAUAAUUUGAAAUGAAAAGAGUCGCAAAUCUGCUAUACCAAUAAUACCAUUUUAUCAUUUAAUUUGUACCAAUUAUAUAUUUAUAGUAGCAUGGUUUUUCAUUAUUGAUAACGUAGCUAUUAGCUAGCUAAAUAAGGCUCGAGGUUUAUAUAUACACAACAUACUUAGCAAAUGGUGGCAAGAUAAAAUAUAAAACUGGAUAUCGCUUUGUGAUUUGUUUUCUGCGUAGUUGUUCAUUCUUGUGAAUUGUCGAUUGAGUAGUUUGCGGCGCUUUAUUUGGCUCUUCGUCGUACAGGGAGACCACAACAAGUAGCUAGUGUUGGAAUAAUUGUUGUUCUGGACGUUGUAGUCUUUUUUUUGUUGGCAACGACAUUGUAGACUAUCUUGCUCUUUAACUAAUGGAAUGACGAAUAUUAACUAUAGAUGUAAAUAAGACUAAUAAGUGAUAAGAAAUUAUUUUAAGUAACUUUUUUUUUUUGCAGAAAACAGAACGAAACACAAAACAUAUCUAAAAACCCAUGCAGUUUUCCUGGAAAGCGAGAAGGAUAUGAAUUGAUGGAAGUUAAGUUAACAAACAUAGUAUUGUUUAUUGUAAAACUUAAAUUAAAACCCAUGCAGUUUUCCUGAAAAGCGAGAAGGAUAUGAAUUGAUGGAAGUUAAUUAACAAACAUAGUAUUGUUUAUUGUAAAACUUAAUUUUUACAAAUUAUUUUCGGUCAAAUUUGUUUUUAAAAAUAAUUGUCAAAUCAUCAAUAAAGCAUCAAAUGAUUCGCUCAACGAAAUGUCCAAGGAUAUUCUUAUCAACAGUAUGUGUUGUGUUAUAUGCAUAUGUCGGCAUAAAUAAUAAUACUCUUGUCUUUAUAUGAGAGCAAACCACGUGGCAAAUGGCAGCAAAUGGUAGUUAUGACCAACCAUCGAACCAAAACUACCAAAUGAUCUCAAGUAUGUUUUUCUUUUAAAAAGAAUAGCUCAAGUAUGUUGAUUUGUCCAAAGAUACAAAAGUAAUAAUUGCUAAAGAGUGGCAAGAAGUAUUGAGGGGACCUCUGUGCUUUCUAUUUGAAAGAUUUAAUAAUCAAAUAAUAUACAUUAUACAGCGUAAGUUACAAAAAAAAAUAAAAAAUAUAUAUAUAUAUAUACAGCGUUUUUUUAGCAAUCUGUUUUUUUUUUCUUGAAAAAUGGCUUAUCAAUCUGGCUUUUUUGGGUGUAAAUUUUAAAUCAAUCUGUUGUUUAUUGAGAAUGGGCUUUAUCAGUCUGUUGUUUAUUGAGCUUUUACAUGUGUUGCUAUAUCGGGAAGUCAAAACAGUUCCAUGCUUCAUGAAAGGAAUACAUAAUAUACAUUUUUUUUAUUAUCCAGUGGUUCUGGACCAAUGCCCUAAUCUCCAGGCCCGAGAUCCAGCCGAGGCUGAUACCAUUUUGGCGUAAAGCAUUCCUCCUACGGUAAAUCGAACCCAAGAACACAACAUCACCACUGCGCUAAGCUGCCAUGUCUGUGGUUAAUAUAUAAUAUACAUUCACAUCAUUGAAGGAUUUUAUAUAUGCACAAUAAUCACAUAUAUGUCCUUUGUACGUAUAACUUUGUAAAUUGUCGAACUAUGCAUGGUUUAUAUAAUAAACACAUACAUGUCUAUUAACUUGGUCGUUUUAUAAGUUGGACUCCCUCUCGAAUGGAAAAAACUGCAACGAGUAUGUGGCCAUGCAAAACCGAAUUAAUUAUCUAAAUGUUUACUACUGCUGCAGUUCUCGUCGAUCAAACUAAGAACUAAGGGCAUGUGCAUCGGAGGCUUUUAGCAGUUUUUUAGGAGGACCACAAAAACAUAAAAAUCGGUAACCAAAAGCGCCGGUUAAGGAUCAAUAUUUGAGUGAUCUUUGUACUGUUUUGCGGGCCCCGCGACACGUGGCGGUCCGCGAUUAGUUCUGAUUUUUUUUUUUCUUUCUAUAAAUCAGAUAAGACAGAAAAAAAAUUUAGAAACUCAUUUUGGGUUUCACCUAAUAAUCAUGGUCUAAUAGAUUAGAAAUUAACCUUAAAAUAGAAUAAAUGGAAAGAGAUAAUUGCUUGAUAUUGUCUAGGGCACGUGUUCACACACUGUACGUUGGGCAUAAGAUCGUUGUUGUGGAUAAAAGAAAAAUGCCUACCGCAACAAACAGAAAAUAAAAUUUCAAAUUAUUGUUUCCUUUUCAAAUGAAAAGUUUGGGAAGAGUGACGAACGAGAUGAUGAAUACCACUAUAAUCGUGCCUCAUAUAUUCUAUAAAAGAUAAAUGCCAAUAAUGCACGCCACAUUACUUAUACUUACAAAACUUUAUCAUACAUGUAUCCACACACUAUCCUAAUUCCUAACUAACUAGAAACUACCAUGUAUUAGUUUCAUGGGUCCAAAAAUAUAGAUUCAGAUUUUACUUGGAUCUACGCUAUAUAUAAACUAAUCGAUUCAUUUGAAUAUUUGAUGCUACAUUUAUUUAUAGAUUUUUUAUAGUGUAAAGCUCCCCAUAAAGAAACCAACAGCAUUAAAACAUCUGGGGGAUUUUGUGUAGUGUGGAGGUCGACCUUUCAGCGUUAAGAUAGGCCAAUCAUGUUUUUCCUUGAUCGUAUUAUUUAAUAAUAUUAGUAUACUAUAGUACAAACUUCUUUUUAUCUCGACGGAAUAUAGUACAAUUUCUUUUGAAUGUUUUAAGCAUUACUAUCUUAUAUUAUUAUCACACUCUUAGCAUCCGUCAUAUUGAAUAUUGUUCACGUGAAUUUCACAUACGCUGAUUAAGAUGUUACCCGUUAUCCUCUUUAUUGAUUGUUGCUAUAUAUAUAUAAAUCCACCCUUCUUUUUACUAUACUUUAUCGAUUUUUUUUUGUUUCCUUGUACAUAAUUCAUAAGUGCAAAAGAUAUGAUUUUAUCGAACUCAUAAUAAAUAAUAAAUAAAACAAAAAUUAUUCUUUGGUUUGAUUUGUUGAAACUUAUUAGAUCGAUUUGGUUAUGAGAAUUCGGCCAAGAAAAACCUGAACUUUGCACGAAUUGCUAAAAAAAACAUGAACUUUUGGGCUGACCAAAAAAACACCAAACUUUCAUUGAAAUUAGAAUUAAUUAACAAUGUUUUCGCUGACUUGCCAAUUUAGCACGCCGUCAACAAAUUUAACAGAAAUAUUUAACGUCGUUUAUUGUUGGCGUUAAGUAAAACGACGUCGUUUGCAAAUGAGAUGAAACGACGUCGUUUUACAUGAUUUGAAAUUAAAAAUAUGUAAACCCCUAGAAUCGAACCCAGGUUGGUUGGUCAAAUGACAAGGUAUUUUACCACUGGGCUACUGGCACUUUCAAUGUACUUACUAACAUGUUUAUUUUUAUUUGAUACAUGUUAAAUAUAAAAAAUUCUCUAAAAACUUAAUAAGAUCUUUAAAAUUCCAAAAAAAUUAAAAAAUAAAGAAGAUUUUUAUAAAAUUAAUUUAGAAAUUAAAAUUAAAAAUAAAACUUUCUUUUUCCUUUUAAAAAAUAAAAACUCUUCCAAAAUUUUCUAAAAACUUAAAAAGAUCUUUAAAAUUCCAAAAAAAUUAAAAAAAUAAAGAAGAUUUUUAUAAAAUUAAUUUAGAAAUUAAAAUUAAAAAUAAAAUUUUCUUUUUCUUUUUAAAAAAUAAAAACUCUUCCAAAAUUUUCUAAAAACUUAAAAAGAUCUUUAAAAUUCCAAAAAAUUGAAAAAAUAAAGAAAUUUUUUAUAAAAUUAAUUUUGAAAUUAAAAUAGAAAAUAAAAUUUUAUUUUUUCUUUUCAAAAAAUAAAAAAUCUUCCAAACUUUUCAAUUUUUUUUAAUACAUUUGCUAAAAGUUGAAAUUAAUUGUACACACAUAAAAAGUUGAUAAUUGUAACUUUGAUUUUUUGCAUUUUAUUAUAAUUUUUUAAAAAAUUGGAUUUUUUUUUAAAAUGAAAAAUUUGGAAAUUUUUUGAUUUUUUAAUUUCAAUUUUAAUUUCAAAAUUAAAGAUAAAGUUUUUAUUUUUUAAUUUCAAUAAAAUUUUAAAGAUCUUUUUAAGUUUUUAGAAAAUUUUGGAAGAGUUUUUAUUUUUUAAAAAGAAAAAUAAAAUUUUAUUUUUAAUUUUAAUUUCUAAAUUAAUUUUAUAAAAAUCUUCUUUAUUUUUUAAUUUUUUUGGAAUUUUAAAGAUUUUAUUAAGUUUUUAGAGAAUUUUUUACAUUUAAUAUGUAUCAAAUAAAAGUAAACAUGUUAGUAAGUACAUUGAAAGUGUGAGUAGCCCAGUGGUAAAAGACCUUGCCAUUUGACCAACCAACCUGGGUUCAAAUCCAGGGGUUUACUUAUUUUUAAUUUCAAAUCCUGUAUUAAUAAACUAAAAAAGUCAACAAAAGUAAAUGAUUUUUUUGGCCAGGCUCGAGUACAGGUUUUCUUUGGCAAUUCGUGAAAAGUUUGUGUUUUUUUUGGCCGAAUUCUCAUUUGGUUAUAUACAUAGCAAAAUCUAGUUUUGUAGACGCGCGUAAUUUCCUUCGGAUACAAUCAUACAAAGACCAAAAAGCGAUUUUGAUAUAUGAUUUGCACAAACCAUAUAGCAGACAAUUUGGUAAAAUUUGCUCCACUUAAUUAUUUUUUAAUAAUUAGGCUUUUUCUCAAGCGACAAGAAUAUCUGACAUUGUACAGAAGUCAUAACUAUUAAUUAGGGUUUUAGCUUAAAAUCUUCACCCAGUAGACCAGUACCAAAAAAACAUAUACAUAUAUAUAUAUAUAUGAAUAUAUAUGAAUGUGAUUAAACGUUGAACAAAAAAAGGUGAUUAAACUUGAAUAUGCAGAAGAUAUGCUAUGUUUCAAAACUUUAUCCAGGACCUUUUAGAUAUAUGUUUACAGUUAUAUAUUAUUUAAUUAGUUUUCAUCUUUUACAAUAUACAAUAAAAAUCUGUCUGCAUGCAAGCUGCAAUGAACGGCUUAAGAUGAUAUGAAAACUUCGCACAUGAUUGAAAGCCACCAAAUGGAUAACGGGACCAAUUUUGUUUCUUUGUUUCUCCAUAUUUUUUGGAUUUAACGAACUGAAAUCAUUCAAUCAUCAUCGUCAUAUUCCCAUAAGAGAUAAAAAAAAGUCACAAUCAGCCACGCGCAAAAACCUCUGGACGUAUUAGAGGUUUCGAGGGUCGAGAAAGACACAACCACGUGACCGUCAACGUAACCACAGACCCAGUCUCAUAGGGCAUUAACUGAUUAAAAAGCAGAACAUAACAUUCUCUCCACAUCUCUUUAAUGACAUGAAAACAAUGCUUCUUAUAUGCCGCCAAAAUCAAUCGGCCGCCAUAUUGGAACUACAAAGAGUUCUGAUCAAGGGAUCAGUGACGCAAAUUAUUAUCUGUUAAUCAAACAACAAUGCUACCAAAAUCAAUAUACUGCCUAGUGACCUUUGACCAAAUAACGUAAAACAGAGAACAUGCUGACCAAUCCUCUCUUCUGAAUAUGCUAAACCAACUAGAUACUACAAACUUUCAAAACAAGAUUUGGAAAUUUAUAAUUAUCUCAUUACAUGGUCUUUUCACGUAGAUAUUGAGAAGUUAAUGACAAACAGAUCAAAUGUUCAGAAAGACCAUAAGCUCAAAGCCAGUUAGGAACUCCGGCAUAGAGAAGCAUCAUUGUCCGGAAAGAAGACGUUACAUAUCCAGCAAUAAAAGCAAUAAGAAUAGAAUCUGCAUUGUAAAUCACUAAGAAGAUUUUAGCAAAAAAAAAAAAAAAUCACGAAGAACGCGUUUGGCGUUUCUAUGUUCCUCUCUAUAAAACGCGCAGUCCGUGCUAUACUAAUAAACACCUUGUCGUGCUAUAAGGCCCAUUUCUGUCCAGGUUCGGCCCAUUGUACGAUAACAACUAAUAUUGCAAUAAGUUGUAGAAGGCUUUAGUGAUUUAAGGCCCAUUUAUGGCCCAUGAGAGCCUUAGAAAAGUAAAUGCUUAUUUUCUUAUUCGUUGACAGUUAUUACGAACUCACCGGGCAAGACGAGAGAGAAAACAAAACGAGGAGCGAGCGACGGUGAUCCGCUAUCAAAGCCGAGGGGAAGAUUUUCGAGGAUGAUCGGACGGCGUGCGGGAACGAAUCGAGCUGGCAUGAGGAGGGACGACUCCAUCCUGACUCGGUUUGUCGACUCAGUGUUUUCUCUAUUCCGAUUAGCUGAGUUUGAGAUCCUGUUUGUGCUAUUCUUCGUUAUAGCCUACGUCAUCUUCAAAGAUCUGGUAAAAUUCACCUAACGAUCGUCAGCAAAUUGCUUUUAUUCAUCUCGCGUUAUUUUCUUAAUUUGAUUGGAGUUGUUUUUGUUAAUUUUUUGCAGACGGCGAGGCCGGAGUACAAUCGGAUUCUUGUUGAGAAGCCUCGUGGAUAUGACGUAUGGCCGUUCUAGCUGAAAAAAAUAAAUAAAGAAUUUGUAUUGAAUGGUUAGUACAACUCGUACAUUGUUUGUGUACAACGCAUUUGAUUAGCCUUCUUCUCUUGUAGUAAAUGUUGUCACUUUGUUUAUUUUCUCUAUGGUUUUGAAUGGUGACCAAGGAACGAAAAGGAACAGUGGAAACUUAUGUAAUUCUCUUUUUCAUUUCUGCAAUUUUAUUCCUAUACGUUCUUUUCCUAUUCGUUCUUCGUGUUUCCGAAAAGGUCACCAAUCGAAACUUAUGUAAUUCUCCUUUUCUAAGAGCAUCAUUAAUCUGGUUCUUAAUUUGGGUUAUUAAUUCAUGAUUUGACAUUUUUGUUUUUGUUUUUUUUUCUUAUAUCUCUUAUUUAAAAGAUGGUUCUUAGUUAAAAGUGUUUCUUAGCUUGUAGCUGAAGCUAAGAACCCCAUCGUAAGAAUCGAGGUUAAUCAUUGUCUAAUGUAUCCUUAAGUUCGUUUGGAUUUUGAGUGAUAUAGCCAUCGCGCUUGGCUUAUUGGCGUGUCAAUGUUCAUACUGAUCUUUAUGAAUCACAAGAAAAGAAACUGAUAUAAUCAAUUCGUAGAGUUUAGCGUAUUUGUGAGCUCAAUCUACGCAUAGGAGGUGAAGAUAUAUAAUCUCAUGGUUUGGUGGUUUUAUAAUGUGUGUUUUAGUUUUAUAUGAUCUAAUAGAUACUUGUCGAUGUUGUUUACGCAAGAAGAAUAGAAGGUAAGUAGAAGAAGCCAAAUAAUAUUACAAGAAUCACUAGGCAUAGUUUGCGAUUCGACAUAGGGAGAAACAAGUCUUUAGAUAGGGUAGCAAAGUAGACCCAAUGAGAAAGUGUAGCCAUCACAUUACAUGUUCGCUUGUUGUUUUGGUCUCUCUAUAACCUGGCCGAAGGGUGUGGAGGGCGUGGAGUGUCCCAUUCGGUGGUGAUGUGGUUACGGGUGAUUUCCUUGAGAGACCUGCAGCCACUUAGUGCCAUUGUCAGCUCGAACUCAUCACGUAGCAUCUGAAGCACUUUUCUGACUCCAGCUUCUCCUUCAGCAGCAAGUGAGAACACCACUGGUCUUCCAAUCUGUGAUUUGAGAAGGCAUACAAAUAUAGUGUUAUUACUAUCAAAGGUGUCAAGCAGCUUUCUGGUAAAUUAAAGAUACGAUGCUUACAAAUAUCCCGGAAGCUCCAAGAGCAAGUGCCUUGAAAACAUCAGUGCCACGGCGAACACCACCGUCUAAGAAGACAGGGAUACGUCCUUGUGUCGCCUUGACAACCUGAACACAGGACAACAAAGCUGAAGUUGUUGCUGUACAUGAGCACACCAAUUUGAUCUUUAUAGUGGAGAAUGAUGUACCUCUUCAAGGGCUGAGAUUGUUGCUGGGACAUAGUCAAGCUGGCGAGCUCCAUGGUUUGACACAAUGAUCCCUGCUGCUCCAGCUUGAACCGCUAUCCUUGCUGUACGGAGGAUAACAAUAGUUGACUUAGACUAAACUUAAGUGAAGAAGACACAUUUGUUUGUCAGAUGGUAAACUCACCAUCCUCCCCGGUGAUAACACCCUUGACAAGAAUCGGCAUUUUGGUGAUUGUCUGGAGCCACUGGACAUCCUGUUUGUGUAGAUGAAAGUUAGACUUGUCCUAAAUCAAGUUUAACUACCCGGUUUGAUGUUUUAUCUCUUAAACUAUUUUACUCUCGUACCUUCCAGCUUAAGGUUCGGUCAAUUUGACCAGCAACAUAUGAAGCCAAGCCAGAGUCAUUGGCCUGCAGGUGGGAAGAGAACAAGCUCAAGAAACUUAAACAUAACAAGACUGCUUUAAGACUUGUUUUGAGAAACAUAUUCAGAUAGUAUCUGAUGGAUACUUACCUCGUCCAUCUUUCCAAGGUCAAGACCUUCAAAGUUCUUCAGUGUCAGGUUUGGAGGCAAAGUGAAUCUGUAUAAGAAGACCACACAACACUUUAUGCUUUCUAGCUCUGUAUCUGCAUCUUAAAAUCCAAUCAACUAUGAUCACAUUUUUAACUGACUUGGCAUUUACCUGUUCUUGAUAUCAGACUCUCUGCGACCUAGCCUUGGGGUGUCUACAGUGAGAGCAAUGGCUUUGAACCCUGCCCUCUCGGCUCUUCUCACCAGCUGCUCAACAACAUUUCUGUUCUUGUAUACCUACUCAGAACAAUCAUAACGUGUCAAAAAAUCAGGCGUGGCCAGGUCUUAAGACAAGUAACUGAGAUUACUUACAUAGAGCUGGAAAAAACGAAUCCCUGGCCCUGUGGAAGCAACUUCCUCGACACUGGAAGUAGCCCAUGAAGAUAGUGUCUGAAAGCAUCAUGUAAUAAUUCAAAACAUAGACAUGAGUAUUGUGUAUUUGGAUUAAGAAGCUCCGAACACCAAUAAGUUUAUGUAUCUUGCUUUAGAUUAAAAUGUUUAGUAAUGACAUAAUAACAUACCAUGAUGGUUCCAGCAGCAGAGGCAGCUCUAGCCGUAGCAUAUUCGCCUGUAUUAGUUUCCAUCAUACUCGUUAGAGCAAAUCCUUAGUCUCUAGUGAUGCUAAAACUAAUUUCCACUCUCUACGUUAUUUUUCUUCUACAGAAUGUUUUACCUUCAGGGUGAGCCAUCUUCUGCAUGGCAGUAGGAGCAACCAUGAUGGGCAUGGAGAUCUUGAAACCCAAGAUGGUUGUUGUCAUAUCAAUCUUGCUCACAUCAAUCAGAAUCCGAGGUCGAAAGCUGUUUAAACAUCCCAAAGGUAUCAAAUCACAUAUCUUGUUAAACCAUUUAACCAAACAAAAAAGUAUAUUGUCUUAAAGAACAGAAAAAAACUAACAGGAUCCUAGCGAAAGCGUUUCUGUUCUCUUGAAGAGUCCAUUGGUCCUCUGCACCAGAGGCAUAGUAGUCGUAUACCAUCUUAGGCAACUUCUCCUUUGCAAUCGCUUCAUACUCGGUUACGUUUGUGAUCUCCAUUUUCAGAUGUUAAUCUGUCAAAAGAGCAAAAACAAAGGGCUUGAGUUAGUUUAUCUGUUGUAAUAUUCAGACAAAGUCUUAUCCAAACAAGUCCAUGAACGCUGUUUGGUAUUAAAAACAGAAACACUCACUCACUUCUGACGAGAACUAAGCUCUCCGGAGAGAAUGAAGGUUGUGUAUAGCAAAGAAACCUUAUAUAAUUUUAUAUAUGUCAACGUUUAUAUGUUGAUUAUGUUGUGAUGGGUUAACUUAGCUUGUGGAUUCUGUAAACAGAUGAAAAAAACUGUUGGCAAUAGAAACUGAUAUGGAUGAGAUUCUAAAGGUUAAGAAUGAAUAAGGAGAUACGGACAAAGAUCAGAUGGAAUCUGUGUGUAUCUGAUUCAUUAAGCAACUUUGUGUGCUCCUUAGAUUUUCUUUCCUAUUAUCGCUCCUAAUAAUUUGUAAGCCAUUUGUUUUUUAUUCCUCCUUUUUUGUAAGGACGUAAUUAUCCAAGAGUUGAUGAAAGUAAAAAAGCAUCCAGAGGAGGAAGAACUUGAUUCAUGAGCCAAAUGAUAUAAAACAAUAGGCCUAGUUAUAAUAUUCAAGCCCAAAAACUUGUCACACCUCUCUGACCCGACCCUCUGCACUAUUGAUUGAACAUACCUAUGUAUGUUACCACAUUACGUAUAUCUAUGUUCUUGCAUUGUAUUGUUUUGUGCUCUUUUGCUUUGUGAACCGAUCUCUAGUUGUCUCUGUUGUAUAAGAAAGAAGAAUGGGACUGAAGGUAGAAGUAGCCAAAUAGCAUAAUAGUGAAUCUCUAGUCUGUUUUGAGAUUUCGAUACGGAGAGAAACAAGUUUUUCUUUGAUAUAAACAGCAGAGUAUGAAGCCAAAGUUGACCAAGCAGAAGAAUAUCAAGAGGUUUAGCCAUAUUACAUAGCUCUCUCUUGUUAUUGUUCUCUGGUUUGGUGGUCUCUAUAACUUAGGCAAAUGGCGUGGAGUGUCCCACUCGGUGACAAUGUGGUUCCGAGUGAUCUCACUGAGAGACCUGCAUCCACUUAGUGCCAUGGUUAGCUCGAACUCAUCACGUAACAUCUGAAGCACUUUUCUAACUCCAGCUUCUCCUUCAGCAGCAAGUGAGAAUACCACUGGUCUUCCAAUCUGAGCACACAUAUAAUGUGUUACUACUGUCAAUGGUUUCAAGUGAUUUUCCUGUAAAUGCAAAAAUAUAUAUGAUGCUUACAAAUAUUCCGG